UAACAAGCCUCUCCUCCGGGUGAUGCCUUCUUUCGGGUGGCCUUUCUGCGAUCGUCCAUGCGUGCGUGUCCAUGAAUAAAUCUCAGCUUGUCUCGGCGAGCUGGGUGCGAGUCCUUCUUUGUUUUUUGUAUGAUUAUUACCGAACCUGUGUGCACGCGUUGUUGUUUCUUGUUGGGUUCGUCCUCAGAGUUGCUGUGAGGUUUAUGGGAUUAUCCCAGUCAAUCCUUCUCUCAUGUAAAAUUUUUAUUUUCGGCAAAUCAUGAGUGUUGUAUGCGUGUUCCCUCAGUAACUCACUCGUUGUGUAUACAAUUGGACAUGCAUGUCACAUGGUGCCUGUAGUUGUGAUGUGCACGCUGUACCUCCGUGUGAUCGAGAUCGAUCGAUAUGAUCGAUGCGCCAUGUGUGCAGUGGCAGCUGACACCCGGCGCUACGCAUGCGCAAGGACCGCUGCGAGACCUGAGCAUUUCUUGGGCCGGGCUUUAAAAGGCCGAACCCCACAAAUCUAAGCCUGAGCCAUGCCCGGUCCUGAAUAAGCGAACACUAUUCUAUUUUUUUCUAUCCCCUUUUCGGGUAAUGAAUAGUACUUAUCUUCCUAUUGAAAUUAAUAUAUAUUAACACAUGAGUAUGAUUUUUAAUGAAACCUUAUUUUUAGUUUCUUAGAACCACAAUGUAGGCUCAGAAGCUCACAAUCACUAUAUAUGUGGCAAUUUCCCAAUAGAAAAAACCCAUGUGUGCCAACAUUUUUUAAGAAAGAUAUUGAUUUCCAUUUCAUUAACGAAACCCCCGCAUGUCCUUACAAGAUACAAACUACUAAAAGAGCCAUGGAGGCCUUUAUUUUGAAAAUUUAAAUAUCCUAUUUUUUCAGUUUCAGAAAAUUCUGAAAAACAUACACAUGUAUGCAAGGAUGUAAUGUGUAUGUGUGUAAAAUUUCAGUAUGAAAUUUCUUGAUUUACGAGCUGCAAUUUUUUUUAUGGACUAUGAGGAUGAACAAUACAUAUGCUAAAAAGCCCUAGAUUUGUCUUUUUUUUUCUGUAGUUCUCAUUUUAACCUAUUUUGACCGGAAAAUUUGCACACAUGUACAUUGUGUAUAUAGGUAUACGUGAAUUUGUUUUCAUAAUUUUUUGAAACUGAAAUACGGUUAAGUGUACGUACGAAUCUACAAAAUACGUACAAGGUAUUUGUAAAUGAUAAAAGUACUACAACAACAACUCAAAACAGGUGUUCGACGGUGGACCUCUUUCAUUUCGCAGGAACAUGGGAAUUAUUAAUGUACAGUAAUAUAUUUACAAUCAUGAUUGAGCAACUCAGCAACAAACAAAGGGGCCUCAAGCAGCCAAACAUUAGCCUCUACACCCGCUCCUAGCACUAGCAGCUCAUGCAAGUUGGUGAGCUGCUCUGUGUCUUCCUCUGUUUCACAAACCUGAACCGAAAUUCAGAAAGUUCAGCCGCAGUAUCUCUAACAUCAGCAAGCAGGUGUGCAUGGCGCGACCAUAAGUUGAGAGCCUGACUCCACUUGAGGCCAAACUGUUCCCGGGCAUUGCUGGGAUCUGCACAUGUUCCCGGGCAAACUGCUAUGCAAACAUGCAGGCCAAACUUCACCGGGUGGGCACGCUAGAAAAAUCGUGCUCGUGUCCACCGGCCGUAUCGAUGCGUUCGGGAGGGAGGAAGCGGCCAUCCGUCCAGUCAUCGGCGUCGCAGACCACGCGGAUUUGUUGUAGCAAUCCAUCCACCUUGCUUGGACACAAAGUUCUGUUAGCGAGCUUCCAGCGCCGUGUCCUGGAGCAACGGACGGUGGCAAUUGAAGCACGCGCAUACGUGGGAGGGAUACUACCCUACCCUACCCUACCCUACUUGCGGGUUGCGGCCUUUUCCUCUUUGAGAAGACGUGCACUCCGACUGCUGCAUCGAUCGUUGGUUGUGACUCGUGUGACCCCAUUGGCAUCGGUUCUAUAUAAGCUGGGGGUGCUCGCACAGCAGCUCCGUCACUCAUCCCACCCUGAUACCCUCGUAACAAACAAGCAGUCAUCGAUGGAGGCUCCACGCAAGCUCGUCUCCGCCGCGCUCCUCCUCGUGCUGCUGCUCGCGGCCACAGGAGAGAUGGGAGGCCCGGUGGCGGUGGCGGAAGCUCGGAAGUGCGAGUCGCUGAGCCACAGGUUCGCGGGCCUCUGCCUGCGCGGCCACAACUGCGCCAACGUCUGCCGGACCGAGGGCUUCCCCGGCGGCAAGUGCCGCGGCGCCAGCCGCCGCUGCUUCUGCACCACCCACUGCCGCUAGUAGCCUAGCUGCAUGCAUGCAUGCUGGCACCUUUGUGCGUGUACCGUGUCCGUGUCCAUGAAUAAACCUCAGCUUGUCUACUAUCUUGGCAUGCAGGCCGAGCUGGGUAUAAGAAGCAACUUCUCCUUGUGUCCGUUCGAUGUUUGGGUUCGUCCUCAAAGUUGCAGCGAGGUCCCAUGUUUCCUUUCACGUGUGUUGUGUGCGUGUAAGCGUGUUCUCCCUCUCACUUGCUCUGUACACGAAACGACGUGCAUGUCGCAUGCUACUUCCGUGUGAUCGAAAGCAUGUUUUUUUGUUUGUUUGAGAAAAGUGUGAUCGAGGCAUGUGUGCAGCAAGGAACUUGACAGCUGCCACCCGGCGCUGCUCAAUGCUCAUGCACGAUGGACUGGCCACGCGUAAAAGGUCCCGGCCUCUAGGAGUGGGAAGUUAUGGUCACGGGCACCAUGGUCCCCUUUAUUAAAAAAAAACAUAUUAAGAAGUAAAAAAAUUAUCUGUGGAAACAUGUAUGUGUGCACUACGGAUCCAUGAAAUUUUGUUUUGAAAAAAUGUAAUGUGUAAGCUGUAAAACAUAAUCUGGCCAUAUACUGAUUGACUUUGUUCCAUCGUUGAAAACCUCGUAUAUAUUCUGUAUAUUCGAUCUAAACCAUUAUGAUCGUGCGUUAAGCAAGACUUGACUUGUUGCCAUGGAGGAGAAAAGAAUUGCUUGGAGGAGUGAUUUUGCAUCUCCCUAGCUACAAACUGCAUGGGUAGUGACCCAGAUGAAGCCAAGUUGCAAGUCCGUGCAGUUAUUAUGGCCUAAUUAGUAAAGUCAAACACGAGUGUCCUAUGAGCAGAGUUCUGUAUACUGUCUGAAUAUCGCUAGGCUGUUUCUGCAAGUUACAAAGGGCAUUUUGGUUUGAGAGUUAUGCAUCGGCCCCAUGUGUGUUUCAUACUACCGUUGAUGAGGAAUCCCCACAUCAUCACACCGAGAUCAUGGUAGGGUCUUGAGCAACAUGAUGAAGGACUCAUGCCUCGGCAGAGUAAUCAAUUCGUUGAUGCGAAUUAGGUGGCUCAUGGGGCCUCUGGUUUAGCCAGUGGAGUGCCAUAAUUGAGCGUCACUGCCCUAACAGACGCAUACUGUCAGGCUCGUCAGCAACCUUCCAGAACACGAUGGGCUGGGCGUUAUGAUUACCGUUUAGGCCAGACAAGGACAAGGACGGCCUCGUUAGUAGUAGAAGACACCAACCAAGUAAUUAUACUACGUAGUAGACAGCCAUGUCUUGUGAAACUCUUAAGUAUCCACAUGCGAAAGUAAAAUGUUGUGAAAUUUUGCACAUACAUAAUAUACAUGUGACUGUGUUUACAAAAAAUUCCAAUUUUUUGGUGUUUCACCAGCGCUGGUUAAACGUGUCCCCGCACGUAAACCAACUGGGCCGGCCUAUAAUGCAUUGAAACAUUCCUGAUUUUUGUGCAGCUUUGUGGCCAAUUCUAAGAAGCUUCUAGAAGCACCGAACAAUUUUUGGGAAGCUUCUGACCGAUUUUUUUUCUUUUCUUGGUUUUUUAUUUUUAUUUUUUAUUUUCCUUUUUUCUUCAUUUUUCAUUUAAUGUAUUUUAAACUCACAUUUUCAAAAACAAUUCAAGAACUUUUUGAAAUCCAUGAGCAUUUUUCAAAUUGGUGAUUUUUUUAUAAAUCCGUGAACAUAUUUAAAAUAUUUUUCAGAUUCAUGAACUUUUCGAAAUCUGAAUUAUUUUUACAAUCAUUGUUUUUUUUAAUUUGUGAUUUUUUUAAUUCAUGACUUUUUUUCGAGCCACAAUAGUUUUUCAAAUAUGAAAAAAAACUAUCUUUAGUCCAAAAGUCAACGGUCAACCGUCCGACCAGGUCAACCAUGAAGAGUGACUAGGCGUGUGCGCUUGAUGAGCGAGCUGCUCGCUCGCAUAGCUAGCCCAGCCCACACAAGGGGGCGCGUGAGCGCUGCCUCGCUACCAAGCGCAACGAGUGCUAACUAGGAGCUUUGACGGCAAAUACCAUAGCUGGCUUCUCUCUUAGUGACGAAUUUGCACAAAAUGACCCCUUUUGAAGAAAUCUAAGCCCAAGAGGCCCCUAAUUCACCUAUGGACCCCCUCCAGGGGAGGAUUGCGGUUCAUAUAUUAACUUUGUCAGUAUUGUCACGAUUUCAUCUGCUACUUAUGUCUGCCGAUAAAAAUUGGUCCAUAUAUUGCCACAUAUAAAGUAAACUAGAUAGUAGCUCGUGCAUUGUAAUGGGGCACAAUAUUUUCUACCCAACCGUUGUGAUUUAUUGAACAUUUUAUUGUUUUAUUAUAGUUACAUACUAAAUGUCGCAAUUGAAUCAAUACUUAUUGAUUUACCAAAGAAAACAUGAUUCUAUUAGUUGCUGCAUUUUUCUAAAUCGUUUGGCUUAGAUUAGGGGGGUAGCUGCAAAUCAAACAUGUGGCAACUCUAACGAGCUUGCAAAACUGGUUGUGUGACAAAGUAUUGCAAUCUUAUUAUACCAAUUAAAUAUGUCUACAUGCAUCUAGCUGUCACCAAACCAAACACUAGCUUUUUGCCUAUGUGUUUCGUCCCUCGAAUUUUACUAUGCCACGCACGACUCAAUAUUUUUCUUUGACUUUUUUGCUGUGAUACAUAAUAAUGAUCACAAAAAUUAGCUUCAACUAUAAUGAAUUUUCACUAAAUAAGAUUGAAAGAGUGAAAAAUCACUCCCUCCUAUAUGUCUAAUCCUCACAUAUGCAACAAAUAUAGAUCGGCCUAAGUAUCAGAGCCAGGCAUUCCAAACUAAAAACAUUGAAGGAGCGUAAACAUCAAGAACCACCAUCACCCAAAAACAAAUGAAGCAAGGACUAAAACUAUAAAUUCAAGAACUUGUAGGGGCCACACGGACUGUUCGGAAAAAAAAAAUACCUUGAGAGCUGUGAUAUUUUUAAAACGAGAUCAACCAGCACUAGCCCUUAGCGGCAUAUUUUUAUGGAAGAAAAUCUGUAAGCAUCCGGCAGAGUAUACUGCUUUAGCAUAUGACAAAUCUAUUUUUUUACGGGAGCAUAUGUACAGAUCUACAAAACACACAAUAGGUGGUAGUUAAAAUUAAAAUGUAUGGCCAUAAAUGGUAAGGGUAGCACACAUCUCAAAGCUUUCCCCGACGCUGGAUUCUUUGCUGUUACCUACCGGGUGGGCACCCCAGAAAAAUCGUGUUCGUGUCCACCGGCCGUAUCGAUGCGUUUCUGAUAAACCGCUCGCCGCUCCCUACCCUUGCUAAGCUCACGGCAAUCCAGUCGUCGUCGUCGUCGUCACAGACCACGUGAGUUUUCUUGUAGCAAUCCAUGGCGUCGCCGGAUCGACCUUUGGCUCGUUGCACGUACUCCCACCGAUCUACUUGCGGCACAUAUUUGUCGCCUUUUUCAUUUGGAUGCAGCUGCAUCGCGUUCGGUUUGACCCCAUGGCUUCGGCAGCUUGUGCGUGCCGCUACAUAAGCUGGUGUGCUCUCCCAGCAGCUCCAUCACUCCACCGCCACCCUCGUACAAUGGAGGCUUCACGCAAGCUCCUCUCGGCGGCGAUCCUCCUGGUGCUGCUGCUGGCGGGCACCGGGGAGAUGGGAGGCCCGGUGGCGGUGGCGGAGGCGCGGACGUGCGAGGCGAAGAGCCACAGGUUCAGGGGCCCCUGCGUGCGCCACCGCAACUGCGCCAACGUCUGCAAGACCGAGGGCUUCCCCGGCGGCAAGUGCCGCGGCUUCCGCCAUCGCUGCUUCUGCACCACCCACUGCCGCCAGUAACCAACCCACUACCUCUACUUCGUACGUCCGCCUAGCUGCAGCCUGCCUGCGUGCAUGCUGGCUUGCUCGCACCUUCUGCGUGUAUUGUAGUACUGUGUGUGUCCAUGAAUAAACCUCGGCCUGUCUGUCAUGGCAUGCUGAGAUGGGUAUAAGAAACGCAGGUUCCCUUUUACUCUGUGUUAAUAAUCAUUCCUUGAGUCGUCGAUUUCCCCGUUGGAUAUGUGGGUUCAAAUUUUCAUUUUUGAACUGCCCACCUGAAUUUUCAUUUCAAGCCCAAGAAUGGCAAACCGACAGAUUACAGGGCUUCUACCAGUUGAGAGAAACAGGGGUCGAUGUUGCGCACUACUUCAGACAGCGCAAGGCCGCAAGGCAUAGGUCACGCAAAAUCCUGGCAUGCGGGGAAGCCGACAGAGGAGCUUUGCUACACUUACGUAAUUGUUUUACGUAAACUCUUUAGGAAAUCAACUUGGCAACUGGUGAUUGGUUAGUAGGAAAUCAUGGGGCAGGGCCUGCAGUUAAAAUCAGGGGGACGGAAGAGAAUUAGGGCUUCUUUGAUUCAUAGGACUGCAAAAUCAGGGGAAGGUUUAUGUAACAGGCUAUGAGCAAUGCUACACCUACGUACAGUUAUUUUAGACAAACCUAACUAAUUAAGGAGUACUAGUAGAAUGCCCGUGCGUUGCCACGGGCAUUUUAAAAAAUUGACCGGUUUGUCAUGAUAAUGUUCCACUGGAAAAAACAUAUGAGGUUUAUGGAUAUAUGAUAUUCCCCCGCACACGUGGUGAUUAUGCCAAUAUUAUGACUCUGGCAAACCUCAAAAAAAAAAUUAUUGUGACACUAGCAGAAUCCACGCACUAAACAUGUGAUGGUGACCGGGCUUGGUUAGCGGUUGAAACGUCCUACGUUUAAGAAAUGUUUACUCAAAACAGAUAGUUCCGGGGAUAAUUUAUUUGAAGGAAAAGGAGCUAUUUGGGUACAACCCAAAUUACCGCAUACAUUUUAGGGAACAAAUUUCAUCAACUCCCCAUCUAAAAUAGAUGGACUUCUUAUUGGGGGUAGAUAGAGUUGCAGAAUAAUAGAAAACGAUGUUAUAUAUACUCCAUGAUGGACUUUCUUAUUAUAGCCAUAAUUCUGUGAAGCAAAUAGUGAAGACUCAAUAGCAUGAAGUUAUUCCUUUUAAAAGGUAAGUCACAUAACACCUAUAAAUCUAUUUUUCCUUCCUCUUGGACACACAAUAAACCGUGUCAUUCUAUAUAGAGGAAAUAAACUAAUAACUACAAACAAUAGCCUUCUACUUUGCGCAACAAUCAGUAUAAAUAUAUUUUUAUGACAUUGUGCUAACGGGAUCUAGGGGGUGGCUGCCCCGCCCAUGCGUCGCCGUAACUUGGAGGUUGCGGUAAAUUGAUAGUCUUGGAAGAGUGGGCUUGGUCAAGUCGGUCAUGUAGUAGCAGUAGCACAUGCAUAAAAGUUUCAGGCGAUAUUUCCAUUUUUAGUGAAAUGAAAGUAGAGAAGGAUAAGCUAAGGCCAUGUAUGCACAACCAACAUAUGAAAGACCAAUGUACUAUAGCCGGACAUCAUUUCAGUUCAUAGAUAAUCAGUGAACAAGAGGGCAUCAAUUUAGUUCAAAACCAACCUUCUAUAUAAAUUCAUGCUAAUUGAAAGGGUAAAACUACUAACCCAUCUCCAGUAAUUCUACAGCCAGAGAAAGUUAGAACAUAACUGCUCAUUAUAAAUUCUAGAAAUGAUUUUCAUCACUAUUCCAUGUUACAAAAAAUACCCCCACCCAAAGGUUAAAACCUAAGAGAGAAAAAAAAUGUAUUUCAGAGUUCAUGUAAUAUCCAGAAAAUAUUGAGCAUCAACUGAUCCACACAUAUUGCAACCUAGAGAAAAUGGCUAUCUGAAUUUCUAAGAACUUAUGAAUGCUUAAUAAAAUCAAUUAGCUUUAGGAGAAACAUACUCAAACACUAUCUGAGUCAACUGUUACUUAUUAUUCCCUAUUAUGACUUUUUAUGCUACCACUACAACCUAAAACAGUAAAUCAUAUAACAGCAAAUUGAGGUACAUCCAAGUGGAUCGGACCCUGAUUAUUCUAUGUACAAAGGAUCACCAAUUGGUAUCUUAUACAUAUAUAAAGAUUGAUCCGCAUAUUGAAUUUAGUAUUAUCAGAAGAAUAUGCAAUUGAUGCACAUAACUAUUGCUUGUGCUUAAAAAAAUACAAAUUGGCAAUGUGGAUGCAAAACUGCAACCAAUGGUAUAAAAUGAGCUAUUCUGCUUCCGCUCGUUAGAUUUUCAAAGAUGAUUUAAUGAGUGGCAAGCACAAACAAUAGUUUCCACUGCAAAUAACCCCCAAAACAAAAAGGAAACAAGCUAGUGUGGAAUGGGUAAUACACCAGCGACCACUAUUGCACUAAUUGACGAUAAAUAGAUAUAGAAGGUGGAGGGAUAAAUGUCUCAAUGGCUUUAAAACAUGAAAAUUCUUUAGACGAACUUGUAAGCAGGACUCACCUGUUCACACCUUCAGCACCAGAUUCAAGCAAGAAUAAACAUACACACACAUAUGGAGUCUCAUAUUCCAACUAUAGAAUGGAUCCAUAACUGCAUAUUUCCUAAUAAAAUCAUCAAAUAAUGUUUAAUUAGCAUAGCCAUCUUGUAUAUAUGGCUUUACUCUGGAGAUAAAAUUAUUAAUAUCUGCUAGAUACAAUAAUGUUCUAGACAUCGCUGUGAGCAAAAAAUAUGGGUCUCCAAAUCUGAACUACCAAUAUUAGCCCAACAGAUUAGGAAAUCUGCUCCUACAUGCAUGCAUGAUAGACCAUCGAUCUUAUCUUCAUCAACGAAAAGGAAAAGAAUGAGAAUAAAACAAAUUGUAGUGACUGUGGGUACGAACAUUUUCAGCAAUCAGCAGUCAUGCAUUUAAAAUGUCUGAGAUGCUUCCGAUUCCCCCACCAAUUGAAACACCCUGAUAAAAGCUCUAAUCAGAUCCAGCGACUCGACAAAAAUACAAAAAAGGAAAAGAGCUUCCACUAAAAGCAAUUGGUACCGUUCUUUCCUUCUUCUUAUUUUCCGAAGGCAACCAAUUUUGAUCUCUCAAAGCUUCAUCAGCUGCACAUAGAGCAUAUAUGCUAUAAAUCCCAUUCUUUCAUUCUUCUGAUUUUCCGAAGGCAGACAAUUUGCAUCCCUAAAAGACUCAUCAGCUGCACAUAGAGCAUAUGCUAUAAAUCCCGAUAUAGAUCUACUGUCAUGGAAACAAAAAUGUUCAAUAACCAAUUCGAAAUAUGAAACAAAGUUUAACUAUGAGACAUAAAACAUCACCAGUUACAUAUUAGUCAUAUGAUAGCAUCUCAUCAGAACAUAACAGAUUUCCAAUUGUAGAAGAGAGACAAUCGGUCUACCACAAUGAACGUGUAAAUAAUAACUUCUAUCUACUUAAAUCAUUCUAUCUACUUAAAUCAUAGAGAUACCUGGCAGAAGAAACGCCAAAAAUAGGUCCAACAAAGUGUUGUGGCAUUGUAGAUUGUUACUCCAAAUGGCACUGAAGAUAAGGGUCCUUAUAUCAGUACCAGUUAUCACAUGACAGUAUUGCAGCAUUGUCUACGGGAAAGCAUGUAUAGUAUGCUGAAACAUAACAACCUUAUUUAAAUUUCUCUUGAGCGGCUUAUACAUGAAAUCCAAGAAUGCACCGAUACAGAUACAUGUACUAGUAUAAGGCUGAUAAGGAUACGUAAAUUCGCCAUUUCCUAAAAGCACCAAUAUGGGGAUACACUUUUUUUAGUUCACAAAAAAUAUAUCAUCACCAUGAGCUAAUUAAAAUUCAGUUCAUUGAAUCAGUACACAACUUCAUCAGCAUUUUGUGCAUAACAUUCCCAUCAGCGAGGGUGAGUUACCGAGCAUGGCAUAGAGCAGGGCGACCUCGGCAGGUGUGGGCAGAGUGCUGACCAGUCCGGUCAGAUCUGCCAACAUCCCGAGCUCCACCAUGGCAGGCAACUCAAAGUCUCGGCCUUUGGCGAGAGAACAAACACAACCAGUAGUCAACAAGAUGAGAAGAAGCAAGAAAUCAUGCUGGAUCAAAAGGAUGUCAAGUAGCAAUUCAUAUAUGAUAAAUCACAAGUGGAACAAUCAUGUGCAGAAAAGGGAACAACAAUCCAAUCUCACAGCUACAGUGCGAAAACCAAUUUAUACCGGAUAGUUAGGCCUCGUGUCCAGGCCUCCUCGUCGAAGAAAUACAUGGGAGUGACAACUACGAAACUAAAGCAAAACAACACAGAAGAAACGUACCCAUGAGAAUAGAAAAAUAACUAAAAUAAUAAUAAUUGGAAGAGAAUGAAUGGAGUUACCGUCAGCCAGCUAAGGUCGUGAUCAUUAGUUUCCUUUUAUUUUGAGGGAUUGAUUGUUUCUUUCCUACCCAGGCAAACAUAUAACUAAUAAUAUAUAUGCUGUGAAAGAAAAAUAAGAUAUAGAGUAGCCUUAGAAAUACUUCUCUUUUCCUACUUAAGUGAUGGUGUACGAGCAUGAAUUAAAUCUAAUUUUGAGGGGUUGCAUACGAGAUUGUAUUGAAUAAUUCAUAUGAUAGCAAAAAAAUGCUUCCAUCCGGAUCUUUCACACCCAAUAAUUAUUUGUCUUAUCCUUUAUAACAUAUUGUAUAUCUAUUUCCCACAUUAAUAUCUAUUUCCCUAGCACUACAUGACCAUCAGGUAAUGUAGGUGCUGAACAUUACGACUGAUAAGCUUCUUGUCAGCAAAAACGCUUUAAAAGUCAACGCUGAAAAGAUAGUACAUCUACUGGAAGCAACAAGAAUGCAGCACACAAUUACAUACAUAUAUCAUUUAUAAAUGUAAUCUUCGUUCCUACUUAACAAUGAAACUGGCAGCGGGGAUGCAUAAUAUAAACCCAGAUGCAAUAAUUGAUGUCUAUAUUUUACUGGGUGAUGGGAACAUGUAGGCUGCAUCAUACGAAUCCAUAAGCAAUUGGAAUUUUGCAAGGAGGCAAACAAAUCGCUAUGUGAGAACGACUCUUUCCUCGAUAAUGGCUGUUUUUAUGUUUCGAACAAAACAACGACAAAGCUUAUGAGACUUUGUUUGGUCUGAUCCUAUGAGAGAGUGUAAGCCCUGCCCAAAUUGAACAACACUACAGAGGACUAAAAAACAGAGUGCAAAUUCAGGAGGACUAAACCAUUACAUACCCGGUGGCCGUUCACAUCGACUACCUUAGUCCUGCGUCGUUCUCCAACAGCACAUCGUCCAUGGCCAUGCCCUCACACAAGGUCGUCCAGCGCAACAGCGAUGCCCGCGGCACACGUUCUUCCAGUUUACGCUCCCCACAUGCCGCAAAAGACCAACGAAACACAUCCGUGCACAAAUCAUUCAACAAGGUGGCCCAAAUCAGUGCCAAUUCAAGGCCAGCAGUAGCAAAAAUCAUGUACAUAAUGACAAUUUCAAAAGGAAAGAUCAGGCAUAUAUAUAUAAAAGAAACACUAAUAGACAUGAUUUUGAGGAAUCCAAGAAUCUGGUAAAAGUUAAAUGUCAAAUGUAUAGGGAAUAUUAGUAUUAUCUUUCUCAUACCUUCUCUUCAUUCUGGAAAAGACAGUGAUUAGAGAUAUAUAUACCAUGCAGAUAAUUGAGAUUGUGUUAACACGUGCUACAGAUAGUAUUAUCAGAAGAAUAUGCGAUUGAUGCACAUAACUAUUGCUUGUGCUUAAAAAAAUACAAAUUGGCAAUGUGGAUGUAAAACUGCAACCAAUGGUAUAAAAUGAGCUAUUCUGCUUCCGCUCGUUAGAUUUUCAAAGAUGAUUUAAUGAGUGGCAAUCACAAACAAUAGUUUCCACUGCAAAUAACCCCCAAAACGAAAAGGAAACAAGCUAGUGUGGAAUGGGUAAUACACCAGCGACCACUAUUGCACUAAUUGACGAUAGAUAGAUAUAGAAGGUGGAGUGAUAAAUGUCUCAAUGGCUUUAAAACAUGAAAAUUCUUUAGACGAACUUGUAAGCAGGACUCACCUGUUCACACCAUCAGCACCAGAUUCAAGCAAGAAUAAACAUACACACACAUAUGGAGUCUCAUAUUCCAACUAUAGAAUGAAUCCAUAACUGCAUAUUUCCUAAUAAAUUCAUCAAAUAAUGUUUAAUUAGCAUAGCCAUCUUGUAUAUAUGGCUUUACUCUGGAGAUAAAAUUAUUAAUAUCUGCUAGAUACAAUAAUGUUCUAGACAUCUCUGUGAGCAAAAAAUAUGGGUCUCCAAAUCUGAACUAACAAUAUUAGCCCAACAGAUUAGGAAAUCUGCUCCUACAUGCAUGCAUGAUAGACCAUCGAUCUUAUCUUCAUCAACGAAAAGGAAAAGAAUGAGAAUAAAACAAAUUUUAGUGACUGUGGGUACGAACAUUUUCAGCAAUCAGCAGUCAUGCAUUUAAAAUGUCUCAGAUGCUUCCGAUUCCCCCACCAAUUGAAACACCCUGAUAAAAGCUCUAAUCAGAUCCAGCGACAUGGCAAAAAUACAAAAAAGGGAAAGAGCUUCCACUAAAAGCAAUUGGUACCGUUCUUUCCUUCUUAUUUUCCGAAGGCAACCAAUUUUGAUCUCUCAAAGCUUCAUCAGCUGCACAUAGAGCAUAUAUGCUAUAAAUCCCAUUCUUUAAUUCUUCUGAUUUUCCGAAGGCAGACAAUUUGCAUCCCUAAAAGACUCAUCAGCUGCACAUAGAGCAUAUGCUAUAAAUGCCGAUAUAGAUCUACUGUCAUGGAAAAAAAUGUUCAAUAACCAAUUCGAAAUAUGAAACAAAGUUUAACUAUGAGACCCAAAACAUCACCAGUUACAUAUUAGUCAUAUGAUAGCAUCUCAUCAGAACUUAACAGAUUUCCAAUUGUAGAAGAGAGACAAUCGGUCUACCACAAUGAACGUGUAAUUAAUAACUUCUAUCUACUUAAAUCAUAGAGAUACCUGGCAGAAGAAACGCCAAAAAAUAGGUCCAACAAAGUGUUGUGGCAUUGUAGACUGUUACUCCAAAUGGCACUGAAGAUAAGGGUCCUUAUAUCAGUACCAGUUAUCAGAUGACAAUAUUGCAGCAUUGUCUACGGGAAAGCAUGUAUAGUAUGCUGAAACAUAACAACCUUAUUUAAAUUUCUCUUGAGCGGCUUAUAUAUGAAAUCCAAGAAUGCACCGAUACAGAUACAUGUAUUAGUAUAAGGCUGAUAAGGAUACGUAAAUUCUCCAUUUCCUAAAAGCACCAAUAUGGGGAUACGCUUUUUUUAGUUCACAAAAAAUAUAUCAUCACCAUCAGCUAAUUAAAAUUCACUUCAUUGAAUCAGUACACAACUUCAUCAGCAUUUUGUGCAUAACAUUCCCAUCAGCGAGGGUGAGUUACUGAGCAUGGCAUAGAGCAGGGCGACCUCGGUAGGUGUGGGCAGAGUGCUGACCAGUCCGGUCAGAUCUGCCAACAUCCCGAGCUCCACCAUGGCAGGCAACUCAAAGUCCCGGCCUUUGGCGAGAGAACAAACACAACCAGUAGUCAACAAGAUGAGAGGAAGCAAGAAAUCACGCUGGAUCAAAAGGAUGUCAAGUAGCAAUUCAUAUAUGAUAAAUGACAAGUGGAACAAUCAUGUGCAGAAAAGGGAACAACAAUCCAAUCUCACAGCUACAGUGGGAAAACCAAUUGAUACCGGAUAGUUAGGCCUCGUGUCCACGCCUCCUCGUCGAAGAAAUACAUGGGAGUGACAACUACGAAACUAAAGCAAAACAACACAGAAGAAACCUACCCAUGAGAAUAGAAAAAUAACUAAAAUAAUAAUAAUUGGAAGAGAAUGAAUGGAGUUACCGUCAGCCAGCUAAGGUCUUGAUCAUUAGUUUCCUUUCAUUUUGAGGGAUUGAUUGUGACUUUCCUACCCAGGAAAACAUAUAACUAAUAAUAUAUAUGUUGUGAAAGAAAAAUAAGAUAUAGAGUAGCCUUAGAAAUACUUCUCUUUUCCUACUUAAGUGAUGGUGUACGAGCAUGAAUUAAAUCUAAUUUUGAGGAGUUGCAUACGAGGUUGUAUUCAAUAAUUUAUAUGAUAGCAAAAAAAAUGCUUCCAUCCUGAUCUUUCACACCCAAUAAUUAUUUUUCUUAUCCUUUAUAACAUAUUGUAUAUCUAUUUCCCACAUUAAUAUCUAUUUCCCUAGCACUACAUGACCAUCAUGUAAUGUAGGUGCUGAACAUUACGACUGAUAAGCUUCUUGUCAGCAAAAACGCUUUAAAAGUCAACGCUGAAAAGAUAAUACAUCUACUGGAAGCAACAAGAAUGCAGCACACAAUUACAGACAUAUAUCAUUUAUAAAUGUAAUCUUCGUUCCUACUUAACAAUGAAACUGGCAGCGGGGAUGCAUAAUAUAAACCCAGAUGCAAUAAUUGAUGUCUAUAUUUUACUGGAUGAUGGGAACAUGUAGGCUGCAUCAUACGAAUCCAUAAGCAAUUGGAAUUCUGCAAGGAGGCAAACAAAUCGCUAUGUGAGAACGACUCUUUCCUCGAUAAUGGCUGUUUUUAUGUUUCGAACAAAACAACAGCAAAGCUUAUGAGACCUUGUUUGGUCUGAUCCUAUGAGAGAAUGUAAGCCCUGCCCAAAUUGAACAACACUACAGAGGACUAAAAAACAGAGUGCAAAUUCAGGAGGACUAAACCAUUACAUACCUAGUGGUCGUUCACGUCGACUACCUUAGUCCCGCGUCGUUCUCCAACAGCACAUCGUCCAUGGCCAUGACCUCGCACAACGUCGUCCAGCGCAGCAGCGAUGCCUGCUGCACACGUUCUUCCAGUUUACGCUCCCCACAGGCCGCAAAAGACCAACGAAACACAUCCGUGCACAAAUCAUUCAACAAGGUGGCCCAAAUCAGUGCCAAUUCAAGGCCAGCAGUAGCAAAAAUCAUGUACAUAAUGAGAAUUUCAAAAGGAAAGAUCAUGCAUAUAUAUAUAUAGAAGAAACACUAAUACACAUGAUUUUGAGGAAUCCAAGAAUCUGGUAAAAGUUAAAUGUCAAAUGUAUAGGGAAUAUUAGUAUUAUCUUUCUCAUACCUUCUCUUCAUUCUGGAAAAGACAAUGAUUAGAGAUAUAUAUACCAUGCAGAUAAUUGACAUUUUGUUAACACGUGCUACACAUAGUAUUAUCAGAAGAAUAUGCGAUUGAUGCACAUAACUAUUGCUUGUGCUUAAAAAAAAUACAAAUUGGCAAUGUGGAUGUAAAACUGCAACCAAUGGUAUAAAAUGAGCUAUUCUGCUUCCGCUCGUUAGAUUUUCAAAGACGAUUUAAAGAGUGGCAAGCACAAACAAUAGUUUCCACUGCAAAUAACCCCCAAAACGAAAAGGAAACAAGCUAGUGUGGAAUGGGUAAUACACCAGCGACCACUAUUGCACUAAUUGACGAUAAAUAGAUAUAGAAGGUGGAGGGAUAAAUGUCUCAAUGGCUUUAAAACAUGAAAGUUCUUUAGACGAACUUGUAAGCAGGACUCACCUGUUCACACCUUCAGCACCAGAUUCAAGCAAGAAUAAACAUACACACACAUAUGGAGUCUCAUAUUCCAACUAUAGAAUGGAUCCAUAACUGCAUAUUUCCUAAUAAAUUCAUCAAAUAAUGUUUAAUUAGCAUAGCCAUCUUGUAUAUGUGGCUUUACUCUGGAGAUAAAAUUAUUAAUAUCUGCUAGAUACAAUAAUGUUCUAGACAUCGCUGUGAGCAAAAAAUAUGGGUCUCCAAAUCUGAACUAACAAUAUUAGCCCAACAGAUUAGGAAAUCUGCUCCUACAUGCAUGCAUGAUAGACCAUCGAUCUUAUCUUCAUCAACGAAAAGGAAAAGAAUGAGAAUAAAACAAAUUGUAGUGACUGUGGGUACGAACAUUUUCAGCAAUCAGCAGUCAUGCAUUUAAAAUGUCUGAGAUGCUUCCGAUUCCCCCACCAAUUGAAACACCCUGAUAAAAGCUCUAAUCAGAUCCAGCGACUCGGCAAAAAUACAAAAAAGGGAAAGAGCUUCCACUAAAAGCAAUUGGUACCGUUCUUUCCUUCCUAUUUUCCGAAGGCAACCAAUUUUGAUCUCUCAAAGCUUCAUCAGCUGCACAUAGAGCAUAUAUGCUAUAAAUCCCAUUCUUUCAUUCUUCUGAUUUUCCGAAGGCAGACAAUUUGCAUCCCUAAAAGACUCAUCAGCUGCACAUAGAGCAUAUGCUAUAAAUCCCGAUAUAGAUCUACUGUCAUGGAAACAAAAAUGUUCAAUAACCAAUUUGAAAUAUGAAACAAAGUUUAACUAUGAGACAUAAAACAUCACCAGUUACAUAUUAGUCAUAUGAUAGCAUCUCAUCAGAACAUAACAGAUUUCCAAUUGUAGAAGAGAGACAAUCGGUCUACCACAAUGAACGUGUAAUUAAUAACUUCUAUCUACUUAAAUCAUAGAGAUACCUGGCAGAAGAAACGCCAAAAAUAGGUCCAACAAAGUGUUGUGGCAUUGUAGACUGUUACUCCAAAUGGCACUGAAGAUAAGGGUCCUUAUAUCAGUACCAGUUAUCACAUGACAGUAUUGCAACAUUGUCUACGGGAAAGCAUGUAUAGUAUGCUGAAACAUAACAACCUUAUUUAAAUUUCUCUUGAGAGGCUUAUACAUGAAAUCCAAGAAUGCACCGAUACAGAUACAUGUAUUAGUAUAAGGCUGAUAAGGAUACGUAAAUUCGCCAUUUCCUAAAAGCACCAAUAUGGGGAUACACUUUUUUUAGUUCACGAAAAAUAUAUCAUCACCAUCAGCUAAUUAAAAUUCAGUUCAUUGAAUCAGUACACAACUUCAUCAGCAUUUUGUGCAUAACAUUCCCAUCAGCGUGCGUGAGUUACCGAGCAUGGCACAGAGCAGGGCGACCUCGGCAGGUGUGGGCAGAGUGCUGACCAGUCCGGUCAGAUCUGCCAACAUCCCGAGCUCCACCAUGGCAGACAACUCAAAGUCCCGGCCUUUGGCGAGAGAACAAACACAACCAGUAGUCAACAAGAUGAGAAGAAGCAGGAAAUCACGCUGGAUCAAAAGGAUGUCAAGUAGCAAUUCAUAUAUGAUAAAUCACAAGUGGAACAAUCAUGUGCAGAAAAGGGAACAACAAUCCAAUCUCACAGCUACAGUGGGAAAACCAAUUUAUACCGGAUAGUUAGGCCUCGUGUCCACGCCUCCUCGUCGAAGAAAUACAUGGGAGUGACAACUACGAAACUAAAGCAAAACAACACAGAAGAAACCUACCCAUGAGAAUAGAAAAAUAACUAAAAUAAUAAUAAUUGGAAGAGAAUGAAUGGAGUUACCGUCAGCCAGCUAAGGUCUUGAUCAUUAGUUUCCUUUUAUUUUGAGGGAUUGAUUGUUUCUUUCUUACCCAGGCAAACAUAUAACUAAUAAUAUAUAUGCUGUGAAAGAAAAAUAAGAUAUAGAGUAACCUUAGAAAUACUUCUCUUUUCCUACUUAAGUGAUGGUGUACGAGCAUGAAUUAAAUCUAAUUUUGAGGGGUUGCAUAUGAGAUUGUAUUCAAUAAUUCAUAUGCUAGCAAAAAAAAUGCUUCCAUCCGGAUCUUUCACACCCAAUAAUUAUUUGUCUUAUCCUUUAUAACAUAUUGUAUAUCUAUUUCCCGCAUUAAUAUCUAUUUCCCUAGCACUACAUGACCAUCAGGUAAUGUAGGUGCUGAACAUUAUGACUGAUAAGCUUCUUGUCAGCAAAAACGCUUUAAAAGUCAACGCUGAAAAGAUAGUACAUCUACUGGAAGCAACAAGAAUGCAGCACACAAUUACAUACAUAUCUCAUUUAUAAAUGUAAUCUUCGUUCCUACUUAACAAUUGAAACUGGCAGCGGGGAUGCAUAAUAUAAACCCAGAUACAAUAAUUGAUGUCUAUAUUUUACUGGGUGAUGGGAACAUGUAGGCUGCAUCAUACGAAUCCAUAAGCAAUUGGAAUUCUGCAAGGAGGCAAACAAAUCGCUAUGUGAGAACGACUCUUUCCUCGAUAAUGGCUGUUUUUAUGUUUCGAACAAAACAACGACAAAGCUUAUGAGACUUUGUUUGGUCUGAUCCUAUGAGAGAGUGUAAGCCCUGCCCAAAUUGAACAACACUACAGAGGACUAAAAAACAGAGUGCAAAUUCAGGAGGACUAAACCAUUACAUACCCAGUGGUCGUUCACAUCGACUACCUUAGUCCUGCGUCGUUCUCCAACAGCACAUCGUCCAUGGCCAUGCCCUCGCACAACGUCGUCCAGCGCAACAGCGAUGCCUGCGGCACACGUUCUUCCAGUUUACGCUCCCCACAUGCCGCAAAAGACCAACGAAACACAUCCGUGCACAAAUCAUUCAACAAGGUGGCCCAAAUCAGUGCCAAUUCAAGGCCAGCAGUAGCAAAAGUCAUGUACAUAAUGACAAUUUCAAAAGGAAAGAUCAGGCAUAUAUAUAUAUAGAAGAAACACUAAUAGACAUGAUUUUGAGGAAUCCAAGAAUCUGGUAAAAGUUAAAUGUCAAAUGUAUAGGGAAUAUUAGUAUUAUCUUUCUCAUACCUUCUCUUCAUUCUGGAAAAGACAAUGAUUAGAGAUAUAUAUACCAUGCAGAUAAUUGAGAUUGUGUUAACACGUGCUACAGAUAGUAUUAUCAGAAGAAUAUGCGAUUGAUGCACAUAACUAUUGCUUGUGCUUAAAAAAAAUACAAAUUGGCAAUGUGGAUGUAAAACUGCAACCAAUGGUAUAAAAUGAGCUAUUCUGUUUCCGCUCGUUAGAUUUUCAAAGACGAUUUAAUGAGUGGCAAGCACAAACAAUAGUUUCCACUGCAAAUAACCCCCAAAACGAAAAGGAAACAAGCUAGUGUGGAAUGGGUAAUACACCAGCGACCACUAUUGCACUAAUUGACGAUAAAUAGAUAUAGAAGGUGGAGUGAUAAAUGUCUCAAUGGCUUUAAAACAUGAAAAUUCUUUAGACGAACUUGUAAGCAGGACUCACCUGUUCACACCUUCAGCACCAGAUUCAAGCAAGAAUAAACAUACACACACAUAUGGAGUCUCAUAUUCCAACUAUAGAAUGAAUCCAUAACUGCAUAUUUCCUAAUAAAUUCAUCAAAUAAUGUUUAAUUAGCAUAGCCAUCUUGUAUAUAUGGCUUUACUCUGGAGAUAAAAUUAUUAAUAUCUGCUAGAUACAAUAAUGUUCUAGACAUCUCUGUGAGCAAAAAAUAUGGGUCUCCAAAUCUGAACUAACAAUAUUAGCCCAACAGAUUAGGAAAUCUGCUCCUACAUGCAUGCAUGAUAGACCAUCGAUCUUAUCUUCAUCAACGAAAAGGAAAAGAAUGAGAAUAAAACAAAUUGUAGUGACUGUGGGUACGAACAUUUUCAGCAAUCAGCAGUCAUGCAUUUAAAAUGUCUGAGAUGCUUCCGAUUCCCCCACCAAUUGAAACACCCUGAUAAAAGCUCUAAUCAGAUCCAGCGACUCGGCAAAAAUACAAAAAAAGGAAAGAGCACAUCGUCCCACUUCGAUUCCAUCCAGUGGGAGGUCCGCGACAUCCAUAUGGAGCCACCUCCGUUGCCAAUUCCACCUCCCGAGUACCGCAUCACCUGGCUGUCUUCUUCAUCUCCGGCAAGCCAACGCCAUCGGGUUUCCGUAACCUCCACGAUGCUUCAAGUGUGGAGUAGCCACAGGGGUCGCGAUGUGGGCGCUGAAAAGGGAGGAGGUGGGCAGGGCUCCGGGGGAUGCGUCGGUGCGCGGAGAGAGAGAGAGAGGAGUCGCCGCCGCCGUGAUCCAGAUCGAGUUCCCAGGCGCAGGGAGAGAUCGUUAGUUUUUUUCUUCGUGUGAGGGGUCGUCGUACGGUUCUUUUUCACGAGUGCGGUCGUCGUCCGUUUUUUUUCUCGCGCGAGGGGGCAUCGUGCUUGGGUGCGAGGGAGGUGGGAGGAUUGACCGAAAAAAAACAGCGAAAAUAAACCGCGGAGACUAUUCACCAACUCGUCCAUUAGGAGUAGAGACUCGUUGCAAAGAUCACUCCAACUCCCUUGGUUGCAACAAGUGGCGCACAUGCAACGCGCCACUUGUCGCAACAUGGUAGUUUUCCCUUUUUCCAUAGAUCCGUUUAUUCAAAAUGUUUUAUCUCGCAAACCGUGCAUCCAAAUCUUGAACCGCUUUCACAGUUGGAUUCCUCGCGCCGAGAUCUUCAAAACUAGAUCCCAUGUUGAUAGGUUUUGACGAACUUUUUUUUCAUGAAAAAAACCGGACGAAAAAACCGAACCGGGAGCACGGGUUUUUUCCCUUUCUGAAAGAAGCACGCCCGUGGCUCUCAGGAAACCACAACCGUGCCUCUCGCGGAAGCAAAACCGUGACUCUCGCGGAAGGAAAAAAGAGAGAAAGCCUGUAUUUUUUUUCUUUUCCGAGGAGGCACGGCCGUGACUCUCGUGAAAGCACAACCGUGCCUUUUUGCGGAAGCAAAAUCGUGACUCUCGCGAAAGGACAAAAAGAACGGAAAACGCAUUUUUUCCCUUUCCGAGAGGCACGGCCGUGACUCUCGCGAAAGCACAACCGUGCCUCUCGCGGAAGCAAAACCGUGACUCUCGCGAAAGGAAAAAAAGACAAAAAACGCGUUUUUUUCGUUUCCGAGAGGCACGGCCGUGACUCUCGCGAAAGCACACCCGUGGCUCUCGCGAAAGCAAAACCGUGACUCUCGCGAAAGCAAAAGAAAAACAGAAAACGCGUUUUUUUCGUUUUCGAGAGGCACGACCGUGACUCUCGCGAAAGGGAAAAAAGAAAACGCAUUUUUUCGCGCAAAAUUUUUUUUUUCAAAUUUUUUUUGAUUGAAAAGGUAAGGAAGACCGUUGAAAAACCAAAACGUCGAAAAAAACCGUUUAAAAAGCCAAAAACGUGUGUGGAAAAAUAAAAAAAUAAAAUCCGGAGGGAGCGCCCAGAGCGCGACACGUGGCGAAUGGCUGAGAGCGCGCCAAGUGGCGUUGAUCGUUGCGAGGCUCCCGAAGGAGCGCUCGUUAACUAGUUGCUCUCUUAUGUUACGGGGUGAUGUGGAGCAACGCAAUUGGGCCAAGAUUAGUUGCUGGGCCUCACCCCAGAUGAAUUCAGGGGGCAGAAGAGAGUUUAUGGAAGGGGAACGUUUUACGCCAACGCGUCGGCCGAAACGUUCGGCCGGUCGCGUCACGUGCGCUCGAUCCACAUGGAUCCAAUGUCUCUCGCGCGUCCUUCUCCCAAUUUUUUUCUUUUGCCUUAUCUUCUUCUUCCUUCCACCACUCAACCUCCCUCCACCUCAGGCGCUGCCGCCAAGCGCCGCGGCUUCUCCGGCGAGGCCACCACCGGCGGACCCCUUAUCUUCUUCUUCCUUCUACCACUCAACCUCCAUCCACCUUUCAUCCCCACCCCCACUCCCCCCUCCGCGACCUCAGGCGUUGCCACCGAGGGCCGCGGCUUCUUCGGCGAGGCCACCACCGGCGGACCCCAUUAGGUUGCUGCACGAGAGACCUGCCGACGAUGGUGUCGCGAAUGCUACAACCACGUACCACAAAGCUACAAUCGGCUUGCAAAGAUGCUAUAACGUGUGCACAACGGAGCUGCAAUCGGCAACGUGUGUCGACAAAUGCUACAACCGUUCAACAAAAAAGUUACAACCACGUUCGUUAGAGCUGCAACCCGAGUUCGCCGGAGUUUGUAGCCACUAUGAUCCAGCGAAUUUUUCUACAACUGGUGUAGAAUUUCGCUACAACCAGUGUCUCAUUUUGCGACAUUACCAUAGCCGGCGUCGGGAAUUUUUGCUACAAUGUUGUCACGCCGUGCUACAACCAGCACUUCAAAUUGCUACAACCGGCACACGGGAAUGCUACCACCGCUGAGAAAAAAAGCUCCAACCAGAGAUACAUGGAAACUGAGGCGGGGCGCCAUGGAAGCUGCAAUCGGCACCUGAGAAGGUACAACUGUUGAUGGGAAAAGCUCCAACCGGCAAACAAGAAUCCUUCAACUGGAGGUGACAGAAGCUAUGGUCGGAGGACGAAAGCUGCAACCGGCUAUGGCAAAGCUACAACCAGCGCUUGCAGAAGCUUUCACCAUGUACGAUGAUGACCGUGGCGAGUUUUCGACUCGACAAGCCGGCGGGCUGCAACUGAUGUUGCCGAUGACCGUGACGGCGACGACUAAGGGACCCCGGUGAGCGUCGACCACCAGCGCUGCGACCGCGAACGAUGGCGUCGUGGCUAUGGAGGGCGAGAGCUGCGGGGGGCGGCUUUUGCAGUGUCGCGGCUGUAGCAACACAUCCAACGACGGCCGGGGGCGAGCGCGCGGCGGCCGGGGGUGAGCGCACGGCGGAUCUGAAGCAGAGGGAAGGGGGAAGAAGAUGAUGACGUGGGAGAGGAGGGAUCGAACGGCUCUAAUCCCGCGCAUCGGGUGGCUGGGGCUAGUCCGGCCGAACUGUUCGGCCGGACUGCCGGAGCCUAUCACUGCCCUUUAUGGAAGGCGUACCAGUUUCUAUUACUAGAUUUUUUGCCCCCACCCACCCACCCGCCUGCCGCCGCUGCUGCUCUCGGCGUUCGCGACGGCGACCGGGCGACGGCGAUGGAGUCCGUGGGCGUGCUGCUGCUGUACCCCGUGAACGCCUACCUGGAGCAAGAGCUCGACCGCCGCUUCCGCCUCAUCCGCCUUUGGGACGCCCCUCCCGACGGCAGCGCCGAGUUCCUCCGCGCCAACGCCUCCGCCAUCCGCGCCGUCGUUGUCUACCCCGGCUACGGCACCCUCGCUGAGCUCAUCGACGCGCUGCCGUCGCUCGAGAUCGUGGCGUCCUUCUCCGUGGGGAUCGACCACGUCGACCUCCCCAAGUGCCGCGAGCGCGGGACGUCCUCACGGACGACGUCGCCGACCUCGCCGUCGGCCUCGCCAUCGCCGCGCUACGGAGGAUCCCGCAGGCCGACCGCUUCGUGCGCACCGGCCUGUGGAAGGCCAAGGGAGACUACGCACUCACCACGCGAGUUGGUUUCCUAUAUGCUUGGCUAGCGUUGACUUCCGUUUGUAGUAUUUUUGCAGUCCGAUAAUCCACUGCCUCCUAGGUGAUUUUGAUUUAUAUACGAUAGCUCAUAUAUGGCGAUGUGGUUCGUAUUUUCCCUCCUACAAUAUCAACCUCAUACUACUAGGCUAGGGAAUUGCCGGCUCUUUUUUGGAUGUUGUGCUGUGUGUCACUUGGAAUCGUGGUAAUACUAAGGCUGAUGGAUGAUCAGAAAAGCAUGAAAAUCACGAUUUUGUUCCUCCCUGACCAUAGCUUCGUAGUAGCAUAAAUAGGAAAUCAAUUGCAACGCAUUUUGUCAUGCUUUCCAUUUCCUUUAUGGCUAGGCUAAGCCUACAGUUUGUGCAUUGAAAGACUUUCUUAUGAGCGGAAUCCCGUUAGAAUUGAUGCAGGGACCAGAGGAUAGCACCUGUACAUUGUGAAAAAUGGUCAGGGGCACCUAUCUGAAGGAUAGAAUGUUCUCCCUCUGUAAACUAAUAUAAGAUCUUGAUCUAAAAGAUCUUAUAUUAGUUUACAGCGGGAGUACUUAGCAAGAUUGAUCUGGUACUUAUUAUAAUGAUGAGUUAUCAGCAAACGAAACUCUUGUAAAAGCAUGGAGUAGUUGAGGAUGCUGGUUUGCCAUUCCAUGCAAUCCUAGGAUCAGAUUUGAUCUUCUCAAAGAAAAGAAACAAUCCACUCUCAUUAUUUUUUUUGCAGUAAGAAAAGGAGCUAAGGCAUUUGGUUGCUCAAUCAGUUAUUAUUCAGAAUCGCAUAAACCAUUUUCCAAACUACAAGUUCUUCACAAAUGGUGUUGACCUGGCAGGCAACUGUUAUGCGCUUAUUGUAGCAUUUUCCCUUAAUGCAGAGGCCAAUUUCAUUGUUAGUUGUACAAUCAUGGAUGGAGUAGGACCAGUAGGUGUGCUCAUAGACAUUGGCCAUGGAGCACAUGCUGAUCGAUCUGAGUUUGUAUCUGCUCAUACCGAGAAGCCCUUUGCCCCAGAGCAUCUUGGUUUAGAUAAUGUUGUUUUGGCCCCUCAGUAGGAAGUGACACGGAAGAAACAUGCAUUGCAAUGGUUGAUCUGUCUCGAAAGAAUUUAGAAGCACAUGCUUUGAGCUGUCUAUUUACAGGGAUAUGUGCAUCUGUCUGUGUGGUCAAGGUGUGCAAUCUCAGCAUUUCGUUUUGGAUGCUUUCAUUCUUAUCUUCGUGUAAAGUGAUUUCCUUGUUUACGCAAAUAUAGCAUGAUUUGUGAUUUCACUUUCUCAUGGAUUUUGUUUAUCCAUUUGCAGUUCAGUGGCAAAACAGUGGGCAUUAUUGGGCUGGGCAGGAUAGGGCUUGCUAUUGCCACUCGAGUGGAGGCCUUUGAUUGCCCAGUCAACUACUACCAGAGAACAAAGAAGGACUACCCCAAUUACACCUAUUACCCUUCUGUACUUGAAUUGGCAGCAAACAGCGACGUCCUCGUGGUGGCUUGCCCAUUGAGUGAACAGACCCGCCACAUUGUCAACCGUGAGGUGAUGGAGGCACUCGGACCCAAGGGCGUGCUCAUAAACAUCGGGCGCGGCCCUCAUGUUGACGAGCCUGAGGCCUUGUACAAUGGGAGAUGCUUAGGGAGGUGUUUAGAAAAAUAAACCGGGUUUUUCUGAAGCACCGGUGCCUAUUUCUAUAGAAGAGACGCUUAGUUAAGCGUCUACCAUGUACAAAUAAGCACCGGUGCUUAAGAAAAUCCUGGUUUAUUUCUCUAAGCACCUCUCCUAAGCACCUCCCAUUGUACAAGGCCUGAGCUUGUCUCUGCGCUCGUUGAGGGGCGCCUUGGUGGGGCAGGCCUCGACGUGUUUGAGGAUGAGCCCGAUGUGCCUGAGUCGCUCUUCACGCUUGACAAUGUUGUCCUGGCACCACACAUGGGGAGCGGGACACACGAGACGCGCAAGGCGAUGGCUGACCUGGUUCUCGGUAACCUGGAGGCGCAUGUUCUAAAGAAACCGCUGUUGAGUCCUGUUAUCUGAUAUGAUGAUCUCUGAUCGCAAGCACGAACAAGCAUUAUAAUGUGUUUUAUAUGCAUUUGUGUGCUAAUAUGUCAUCAUGUUUGGUCGUACCAUUUGAAGUUGUUGUCUCAAGGAAUGUUCUAUGUGGAUGGCCUCAAAAAUAAUUUCUCUCUUCGAAAGCCCGUUUGUUUGGCUUUAUCAAUAAUUAAUAAUAUAUGGUCGUAUGCAUCAAUCGACGGAGAGUCCGAGGUUCUUCCCCUUUUCCAUUUUAUUUUGAAGAAGCACGAUAAGAUGUUUUCCCUUUCAAUAUCUCUUUGACAUAUGUAGCUUCUUAUCGGUAAGCAGUUUGUGAGACCUAUUGACAAGUUUGAUUUCUUUUGGGAUCGUCUCAUAUCUGGUUUUCGUGGUUUAUGUUUUGUCGACGCAAAUGUCAUGCUAUGUAAUAUGCCUGAUUUUCUUGGUUGAGUAAAUGUUGCCAUUUAGUAUGGAUGGUUUGGUAGCUUGCAAGCUUUUUGCGCUUUUCGGUAGCUUGGCUGAGUUGGGCCUGGCUAUGCAUGUUGUGCAUAUAGUUUGGUAGCCUGCAUGUUCCUCAGCCUAAGUCCUAGAUGGAACGUUCUGCUAUUUCAUUACAUUCACACUGAUGAUUAAUCUCGCCUUUUAUCCAAGUGGUAAACUUACCUCAGAUAGAAACGGUUGCUGAAGGAAGAAGAGAAAGGCCGGCUCGAGCUAGAAAAAGGUAUGGCAUCCUUCGGAUGCUCAUCCAACGGGAUGACUCGAGGUAGGAGGAGUGGCAGCCCUUGGAUGCUCAUUCAAUGGUCAUGAAAUCGGAUGGGCGCGAAUAUUUUUUUAUGAGACAGAUGCCCAAGUGUGAUACGUUUGCACAAUCAGUAGGAAAAUGUAUAUCUACUCGUCUAUGACCAUCGAAAUAGAAAACGUAACACAAAAGCUGUGUGAAACAGCAAGAUGAAGUUACUGGUCUACAGAAAUUUCAAACGGUCGUUCGGGUGCGAAGAUUUUCUCAAACUUCAUCGUUUCAUAACAUGGACACAUGAACAUGUUUGUGUGGUCCAGUAAGAGAUGCAGAUCUACUCGCCUAGAAAACGUCCAACACAAAAGUCAUGGAUACAGCGAAAAGAAGCUAGUGGUCGACUUGGUGUGAAGAUUUUGCUGAAAUUCAUCUAAAAACCCUCCAAACAUUAGCAUGAAAUUGAAGACUUACAGUCCAUAAAAUUAGAAACCGACGGUCUGAAUGAAAUAUUUGCAUAUUUUUCAUGUAGACCAUAUUUCGAGUCAAAUCACCAUUGUGUGUGAAGUAGAUCAAAGAGGGUGAGUGCAAUAUAACAUGUGCAAACCUCACCUACACGCUCGCACCACCGGAGCCACCACUUAUGCUCAAGUUGCAUCGCUCGCGUUGCUUUGAGAAAAUGGACGAUUCGAGCAUUCCUGCGAAGCCAGGCCUGGAGUUGAUUUAUGCACCAUGCUAUGCAGGUCCAAUAGCAACACACCUAGGGAGGCACGUGAAUGAAUGCCCCUUUUAUCAGAAAAUAUUAAAUCCAUUUCACACUUGGGGAGAUAGUUGAUCGAUGUCCAUUUUCACACUUAGGCAGAUAGUAGACCAAUGCACUCGAGCCGCUCCCCUCACCCGUCCCACUCCAUGGCCGUCGCCGUUCCAACCUCCUUGUCCUCCUUUUCCCCCUCUCCCAUGCUCCUCCUCUAGCCUCCAGCUCCAUAACUAACCACCACCACCAUCUCCAGCCUCCCGAUCUAGCAGAACUGGCAGCCCAAUCUCAUGAGUGGGAUCGUGGUGGGGCGGCACAGGCGAACAGUGGCUUCAGGAGAUGGCCGGCGUCAGUGAUGCCCCUUGAGAUCCGGUUUGGAUAGCAGAAGGUUCCCGUACCUUUUCCCCAAGGAGUGACUCUGGGUAUCAAACCCACUAGAGGAUGUGCACCAUGACAAAGAGGCAAACAAGUGAUUGCUAUCGAAUUAAAUUCUAGUUUUUUAAUCAGACCUUUCUCACAACUUUUUUGGACGUAAACACUGGUAUGAAAAUAGGCAUGAGUAUAUGUGGUCUUACUCUCACAACCAUACAUUCCCUCUGUCUCAAAAUGUAAAAGGAUAUUUUACACUAUCAUGGUGUCAAAAAUCCUCUUACAUUUUGGGACAAAGAGUGUACAUACCUGUGGGAUCUCAUCUUACUAAUAAACAUAGCUCUGAACACAACUGCCAUGAUGUGCUUGCUACGUGAUGAAGUAGGGAUGUGUUCAAAGUACGUCUUGACUGGUCACAACCUGCAUCAAGAGUUAGUUGUCCAACUGAUACAUCAUUUUGCAUCAUGUUUUCCUACUAUUAUUUAUAUAGUUUUGGGUCAAUAUUUCACUUCAUGAGGUAAUUCUAAUGUCUUUUCUCUCUUAUUAUGCAAGAUUUAUAUGAAGAGGAAAAUUGCUGACAGCUGUAAUUCUGGACCUGAAACGAGCUACAGCAGAGAUAGCUAUUCUCCGAAGCUCCAAAUGACCUGAAAAUUUACGAAGAUUUAUUUGGAACUAAUAGAAAAAUACAGGAAGAAGAAUCACCAGGAGGGCCCCACCAGUGAGCCACAAGCUCAGGUGGCGCUCCCCUGGGGCACGCCAUGUGAGCUUGUGGGCCCACCAGCAGGCCUUCGUGGCCCUCCUUCUCCUAUAUGAUGUCAUUUUCACUAGAAAAAAAUAAAGAGAGGACAUUCGGGAUGAAGCGCCGCCGUCUUGAGGCGGAACCUGGGCAGGAGCAGUUUUGCUCUCUCGCGGAGCGAUUCUGCUAGGGAUACUUCCCCUCCGGGUGGGGAAAAUCGAAGCCAUCGACAUCACCAACGAUCCUCUCAUCGUAGGAGGACUAAUCUUCAUCAACAUAUUCACCAACAACAUCUCCUCUCAAACCCUAGUUCAUCUCUUGUAUUCAAUCUUUGUCUCAAAACCUCAUAUUGGUACUUGUGGGUUGCUAGUAGUGUUGAUUGCAUGUUGUAGUUGAUGCUAGUUGGUUUAUUUGGUGGAAGAUUAUAUGUUCAGAUCCUUAAUCAUAUACAAUACUCCUCUGAUCUUGAACAUGAAUAUGAUUUGUGAGUAGGUCCGUUUGUUCUUGAGGACAUGGGAGAAGUCUUGUUAUAAGUAAUUAUGUGAAGUUGGUACUCGUUCAAUAUUUUGAUGAUGUGUAUGUUGUUCUUCCUGUAGUGGUGUCAUCUGAACGUCGACUACAUGACUCUUCACCAUGUUUGGGCCUAGGGGAAGACAUAGGGGAGUAAUAAGUAGAUGAUGGGUUGCGAGAGUGCCAGAAGCUUAAACCCUAAUUUAUGAGUUAUUUCAUAAGGGCUAAUUUGGAUCCAUAUGUUUCAUGCUAUGGUUAGAUUUAUAUUAAUUCUUCUUUCGUAGUUACGGAUGCUUGUGAGAGGGGGUAAUCAUAAGUGGGUUGCUUGUUCAAGUAUGAACAUCAAUGCUACUUGUGAGUUGCGUUGGGAUUUCCCCGAAGAGGAGAGGAUGUUGCAGUACAAUAGAGAUAAGUAUUUCCCUCAAUUAAGAACCAAGGUUACCAAUCCAGUAGGAGAACCACGCGAAACCUCGUUAAUUAGCAGCACCUACACACACAAAGGCAAAUACUUGCACCCAACGCAAACAAGGGGGUUGUCAACCCCUCGGCGGUUAAUUGCAAGGAUCAAAUUUGGUAGUGAUAGAUAGAUAGAUUUAAACACAAAAUAAAAUAAUGGUAUAUAAAUUGAAGUAAGGUAUUUUUGGAUUUUAUAUAUGAUAAAAGUAGACCCCGGGGCCAUAGUUUGCACUAGAGGCUUAUCUCUCGAACAAAAAGCAUACAGUGGGUAAACAAAUUACUGUUGGACAAUUGAUAGAAAAACGCAUAGUUAUGACGAUAUUCAAGGCAAUGAUCAUGUAUAUAGGCAUCACGUGUGAGACAAUAGACGGAGUCCUGCCUGCAUCUACUACUAUUACUCCACCCAUCAACCGCUACCCAGCAUGAAUCUAGAGUAUUAAGUUAAUAAAAACGGAGUAACGCCUUAAGCAACAUGACAUGAUGUAGACAAAGUAAAUCCAACCAAUAUGAAUAAACCCCAUCGUUUUCCCCUUAAUGGCAACAAUACAAAUACGUGUCUUGUCCCCUUCCGUCACUGGGAUAUAGAACACCGCAAUAUUGAGCCCAUUACAAAGCACAUCUCCCAUUGCAAGAUAAAUCAAUCUAGUUGGCCAAACCAAACGGAAGAUUGAAGAGAAAUACAAAGCUAUAACAAUCGUGCAUAAAAGAGUUUAGAGAAGACUCAAAUAAUAUUCAUGAAUAAUCUGAUCAUCAACCCAAAAUUCAUCUGAUCCCAACAAACACACCGUAAAGAAGACUACAUCGGAUAGAACUCCAAGAACAUCGAGGAGAACAUUGUAUUGAAGACCAAAGAGAGAGAGAGAAGAAAUCAUCUAGCUACUAGCUAUGGACCCGUAGGUCUGUGGUAAACUACUCACACAUCAUUGGAAGGGCAGAAAGGUUGAUGUAAGGCCCUCCGUGAUCGAUUCCCCCUCCGACAGAGUGCUGAAAAAGGCCUUCGGAUGGGACCGUGGAAGAACAGGGACUUGCAGUGGCGGAAAAAGUAUUUUGGGUGGCUCCCUGUUGGUUUCCCGAUUUUAGAGAAUUUAUAGAGGUGGAACUAGGUCCGUCGGACCCAAGAGGGGCCCACAAUGUACUAGGACGUGGCCACCCCCUAGGCGUGCCCUACUGCCUUGCCAUCAACUUGUUUGCCUUAUGGCCUCCUCCCGAAGCUUCUUGGGUCUCUCUUGUCCCAGAAAAUGAUAUAUAAUUGCAUAUAAAGCAUCCAAGAUUGAUACUAUAAUAGCAUAGAAUAAUAAAAAAUUAUAGAUAUGUUGGAGACAUAUCAAUCAUCCUAGCACUGGUCCACCCACAUAUCAAAUUAACAUAGUAGUGAAUGCGGAUCAACUAAACAUAAUGAACGCGGCUAGAUGAGAAUUCCCAUGUGUCCUCGAGAACAUUUUGCUCACUAUAAGAAGUACUCCAGGCUUGCCUUUGCUAUAUAAAGGAUUGGGCCAUCUUGCUGCACCUUGUUACUAUUGUCACUUGUUACUUGUUACGGAUUAUGUUGUUAUCAAACUACACGUUACUACUACUUUAAGUGCUUGCAGAGAAUACCUUGCUGAAAACCGCUUAUCAUUCCUUCUACUCCUCGUUGGUUUCGACAAUCUUACUUAUCGAAAGAACUACAAUUGAUCCCAUAUACUUGUGGGUCAUCACCAACCGAUGAUCCUUACCACCUCACAGAGUCACCUCGUUUAUUAAACACAUAUCUUGGGUACUACACCCGCCAAAGGUGCUGGUCGUGGAGGCACAUCGCGUUCAAAGGGAUGUGUCCCAUGACUUUGUACGACCUCCAAUUGAGCUACACCACAUCAUUUUACUUAUGCACAAAGUAUUUUAUGAACAAUGAGGGCUAUUAUUCAUGAACAAUUAGAUUAUGGUGAGUCAAUGUGUCGAGCUCGUUGAUGUAUGACUUGUAUCACCCCAUCGAGGCCGAUGUGGACACCUCCACAAUAGCCCAUGUGUACACGACAGUGGGGACGCGAUCAGAUCCCCAUCAUAAGACCACUGCCAUUGUUUUGGUGGACUCGUGGAGCAAUUAUCAGUUCAUGACCCAACAUGGAUAUGUUCCGACAUGCAAACCUACAGGGCCCACACAAAACCGCCAACGUAGGAGGUCGGCUUCCGCCUCCGAUAUGCCUCAUCCAUCUGUACAUUCAAGGACAAGUUAUACCAUGAUACCCAAUCAUUAAGUUCAUACCUUGAACAUUGAUGCCUCUAGGUUUUACCUGCCGAUAUAAGAAAGCCAGUCCGACUAGCCUCCAACUCGACUUCAUGUCCCAGUCAAGUAGCGCGUCCAAGUACAUCCAUGAGGCUAUGUCCCCUUAACCAUCUGGAAACACAACCAAAGUCAAGAGGUGCCACAAAUAUGCCCAUGCGUACUUCUCCACACUCGCAUCACCGACAUUCUUAGACAAACCCAUCUAUAUGUUCUCGUAGCCACGAGUACAAUACACUAGCUAGCCUAGGAUCAUUCUUGGUUGGGUCAGUCCACAAUGUAGGUUCAACACCAAUCAAUUAUGCAACAUAUUUUCCCAGUAAGAUCCCUUCCCUCGAUCAAAAGAGCGCUGAUCAUCGCAAAGUCCUCCAAAGUGACCGUCAUCUUGUCAAGGGGCAACUAGGAGGAGUGCGUCUCGGGCCUCCAAUGGUCCAAAAGGGCGGUAAGGGCCAUGGAGUUGAGAAAAAGCAGAGUGCCUUUAAAGUUGAGGACAAAUGGGAGACGACCCAUGAUGCCCUUUGAGAUACAGUUUGGAUAGCAGAAGGUUCCCGUGCCUUUUCCCCAAGGAGUGACCGUAGGUUAUUGAACCCAGGAGUGGAUGGGCACUACGGCAAAGGGUCUGACAAUUUAUUGUUAGCAAAUAAAAUUCCAGUACUUCAACCAGAUAUUAACAACCUUUUUAGGUGUAAACGUUGUUAUGAAAACAUGCAUGGGUACGAUGUCUUACUCUUAUGACCUUAUAUUUAUGUGUGGGAUCUCAUCUUGAUAAUAAACGUAGCCACUAUGAUGUGCAUGUGAUGCAAUGAAGUAGGGGGGGGGGUGGACAAAGCACGUCUGGACCGGGUGCGCAACCUGCAUCAAGAGUCAGUUGUCCAACCGAUGGGCCUGAAAGUCGCGCGGGGUUACCUCGGUUAUUAAGAAAAAGUAUCCCAAAAAGCAUUGAAUGUUUAAUGACCACACCUAUUUUGUCCCCGGGGAAUUGCUUUUCACUACCAUACUAACCCCUUCUCUCAGUGCUAUUCCGGAUAGUGUUCCACUCCUGGCUUGCUCUUUACAUUCUUCUUGAUCUAUCUACGGAUCCUGGGUCCUUGUUGUUGGGGAUCGUUGCAGAAAUUAAAAAAAAUUCUACGCAUCACCAAGAUCAAUCUAUGGAGUUUACUAGCAACGAGAGGGGAGUGCAUCUUCAUAACUUUGAAGAUCGCGAUGCGGAAGCGUUGCAAGAUAGCGGUCGGUGGAGUCGUACACGAAGCGAUUCAGAUCGCGGCCGAUUCCGAUCUAAGCACAGAACAACGGUGCCUCCGCGUUCAACACACGUGCAGCCCGGUGACAUCUCCCGCGCCUUGAUCAGCAAGGAGAGAGCGAGAGGUUGGGGAAGACUCCGUCCAGUAGUAGCACGACGGCGUGGUGGUGGUGGAGGAGCGUGGCACUCCAGCAGGGCUUCGCCAAGCACUGCGAGAGACGAGGAGGGAGAGGGGUAGGGCUGCGCCAAGAGAGAGGGAGACUCGUGUUUCUGGCAGCCCCAAAACCCCCACUAUAUAUAGGGCAAGGGGAGGGGGGCCGGCCCCCUAGAUCCAUCUAGAGGGGGGGCGGCGGCCCCCUUAGGGUUUCCAACUAGGGGGCGCCCGCCCCCCGGGGGGCAGCGGCCCCCUAGGGUUUCCAACCCUAGGCACCAUGGGCCCUUGGGGGGCGCACCAGCCCACUAAGGGGCUGAUUCCCACCCAACUACAACCCGUUAGGUCCUUCGGGGCAGGUGGACCCUCCCGGUGGACCCCCGGAACCCCUUCGGUGGUCCUGGUACAAUACCGAUAAACCCCGAAACCUUUCCGGUGACUGAAACUGGACUUCCCAUAUAUAAAUCUUCACCUCUGGACCAUUCCGGAACUCCUCGUGACGUCAGGGAUCUCAUCCGGGACUCUGAACAACAUUCGGUAACCACGUACAUCUAUUCCCUAUAACCCUAGCGUCAUCGAACCUUAAGUGUGUAGACCCUACGGGUUCGGGAAUUAUGCAGACAUGACCGAGACAUCUCUCCGGCCAAUAACCAACAGCGGGAUCUGGAUACCCAUGUUGGCUCCCACAUGUUCCACGAUGAUCUCAUCGGAUGAACCACGAUGUCAAGGAUUCAAUCAAUCCCGUAUACGAUUCCCUUUGUCUACCGGUAUAGCACUUGCCCGAGAUUCGAUCGUCGGUGUACCGAUACCUUGUUCAAUCUCGUUACGGCAAGUCUCUUUAAUCGUUCCGUAACACAUCAUCCCGUGACCAACCCCUUAGUCACAUUGAGCUCAUUACGAUGAUGUCUUACCGAGUGGGCCCAGAGACACCCCUUCGUUAUACGGAGUGACAAAUCCCAGUCUCGAUUCGUGCCAACCCAACAGAUACUUUCGGGGAUACCCGUAGUGUACCUUUAUAGCCACCCAGUUACGUUGUGACGUUUGGCACACCCAAAGCAUUCCUACGGUAUCCGGGAGUUGCACAAUCUCAUGGUCUAAGGAAAUGAUACUUGACAUUAGAAAAGCUUUAGCAGACGAACUACACGAUCUUGUGCUAUGCUUAGGAUUGGGUCUUGUCCAUCACAUCAUUCUCCUAAUGAUGUAAUCCCGUUAUCAACGACAUCCAAUGUCCAUGGUCAGGAAACUGUAACCAUCUAUUGAUCAACGAGCUAGUCAACUAGAGGCUCACUAGGGACAUGUUGUGGUCUAUGUAUUCACACAUGUAUUACGAUUUCCGAAUAACACAAUUAUAGCAUGAACAAUAGACAAUUAUCAUGAACAAGGAAAUAUAAUAAUAACCAUUUUAUUAUUGCCUCUAGGGCAUAUUUCCAACAGUCUCCCACUUGCACUAGAGUCAAUAAUCUAGUUACAUUGUGAUGAAUCGAACACCCAUAGAGUUCUGGUUUUGAUCAUGCUUUGCACGUGGAAGAGGUUCAGUCAACGGAUCUGCGACAUUCAGGUCCGUAUGCACUUUACAAAUCUCUAUGUCUCCAUCUUGAACAUUUUCACGAAUGGAGUUGAAGCGACGCUUGAUAUGCCUGGUCUUCUUGUGAAACCUGGGCUCCUUGGCAAGGGCAAUUGCUCCAGUGUUGUCACAGAAGAGAGUCAUCGGGCCCGACACAUUGGGAAUAACUCCUAGGUCGGUAAUGAACUCCUUCAUCUAGAUUGCUUCAUGUGCUGCCUCCGAGGCUGCCAUGUACUCCGCUUCACAUGUAGAUCCCGCCACGACGCUUUGCUUGCAACGGCACCAGCUGACUGCCCCACCAUUCAAAAUAUACACAUAUCCGGUUUGUGACUUGGAGUCAUCCAGAUCUGUGUCGAAACUAGCAUCGACGUAACCCUUUACGACGAGCUCUUCGUCACCUCCAUAAACGAGAAACAUAUCCUUAGUCCUUUUCAGGUACUUCAGGAUAUUCUUGACCGCUGUCCAGUGUUCCAUGCCGGGAUUACUUUGGUACCUUCCUACCAAACUUACGGCAAGGUUUACAUCAGGUCUGGUACACAGCAUGGCAUACAUAAUAGACCCUAUGGCCGAGGCAUAGGGGAUGACACUCAUCUUUUCUCUAUCUUCUGCCGUGGUCGGGCAUUGAGCCGUGCUCAAUCUCACACCUUGUAAUACAGGCAAGAACCCCUUCUUGGACUGAUCCAUAUUGAACUUCUUCAAUAUCUUGUCAAGGUAUGUGCUUUGUGAAAGACCAAUGAGGCAUUUCAAUCUAUCUCUAUAGAUCAUGAUGCCCAAUAUAUAAGCAGCUUCUCCAAGGUCCUUCAUUGAAAAACACUUAUUCAAGUAGGCCUUUAUGCUUUCCAAGAGUUCUAUAUUAUUUCCCAUCAAUAGUAUGUCGUCCACAUACAAUAUGAGAAAUGCUACAGAGCUCCCACUCACUUUCUUGUAAACACAGGCUUCUCCAUAAAUCCGCGUAAACCCAAACGCUUUGAUCAUCUCAUCAAAACGAAUGCUCCAACUCCGAGAUGCUUGCACCAGCCCAUAGAUCGAGCGUUGGAGCUUGCAUACCUUGUCAGCAUUCUUAGGAUCGACAAAACCUUCCGGCUGCAUCAUAUACAAUUCUUCCUUAAGGAAACCAUUAAGGAAUGCCGUCUUGACGUCCAUUUGCCAUAUCUCAUAAUCAUAGAAUGCGGCAAUUGCUAACAUGAUUCGGACAGACUUUAGCUUCGCUACGGGUGACAAGGUCUCAUCGUAGUCAACCCCUUGAACUUGUCGAUAACCCUUAGCGACAAGCCGAGCUUUAUAGAUGGUCACAUUGCCAUCCGCGUCCGUCUUCUUCUUAAAGAUCCAUUUGUUUUCUAUGGCUCGCCGAUCAUCGGGCAAGUCCGUCAAAGUCCAUACUUUGUUUUCAUACAUGGAUCCUAUCUCGGAUUUCAUGGCUUCAAGCCAUUUAUUGGAAUCUGGGCCCGCCAUCGCUUCUUCAUAGUUCAAAGGUUCACCAUUGUCUAACAACAUUAUUUCUAGGACAGGGUUGCCAUACCAUUCUGGCGUGGAAUGUGUCCUUGUGGACCUACGAAGUUCAGUAGUAACUUGAUCCGAAGUUCCUUGAUCAUCAUCAUUAACUUCCUCUCUAGUCGUCUUGAGCUGCGCUACCUUCCGGUUCAAGAGGCAGUACUUCAUCAAGUUCUACUUUCCUCCCACUUACUUCUUUCGAGAGAAACUCUUUCUCUAGAAAGGAUCCAUUCUUGGCAACAAAGAUCUUGCCUUCGGAUCUGAGGUAGAAGGUAUACCCAAUAGUUUCCUUAGGGUAUCCUAUGAAGACGCAUUUUCCCGACUUGGGUUCGAGCUUUUCAGGUUGAAGUUUCUUGACAUAAGCAUCGCAUCCCCAAACUUUUAGAAACGACAGCUUAGGUUUCUUCCCAAACCAUAAUUCAUACGAUGUCGUCUCAACGGAUUUCGACGGAGCCCUAUUUAAAGUGAAUGCAAUUGUCUCUAAAGCAUAUCCCCAAAAUGAUAGCGGUAGGUCGGUAAGAGACAUCAUAGAUUGCACCAUGUCCAACAAAGUGCGAUUACGACGUUCGGACACACCAUUACGCUGAGGUGUUCCAGGCGGCGUGAGUUGUGAAACAAGUCCACAUUUCCUUAAGUGUGUGCCAAAUUCGUGACUCAAAUAUUCUCCCCCACGAUCUGAUCGUAAGAACUUUAUUUUCCUGUCACGUUGAUUCUCAACCUCACUCUGAAAUUCCUUGAACUUUUCAAAGGUCUCAGACUUGUGUUUCAUUAAGUAGACAUACCCAUAUCUACUUAAGUCAUCAGUGAGGGUGAGAACAUAACGAUAACCACCGCGAGCUUCAACGAUCAUUGGACCGCACACAUCAGUAUGUAUGAUUUCCAAUAAGUUGGUUGCUCGCUCCAUUGUUCCGGAGGACGGAGUCUUGGUCAUUUUGCCCAUGAGGCAUGGUUUGCACGUGUCAAAUGAUUCAUAAUCAAGAGACUCCAAAAGUUCAUCUGCAUGGAGUUUCUUCAUGCGUUUGACACCAAUGUGACCAAGGCGGCAGUGCCACAAGUAUGUGGGACUAUCAUUAUCAACCUUACAUCUUUUGGCAUUCACACUUUGAAUAUGUGUAACAUCACGUUCGAGAUUCAAUAAGAAUAAACCAUUGACCAGCGGGGCAUGACCAUAAAACAUAUCUCUCAUAUAAAUAGAACAACCAUUAUUCUCAGAUUUAAAUGAGUAGCCAUCUCGCAUUAAACGAGAUCCAGAUACAAUGUUCAUGCUCAAAGAUGGCACUAAAUAACAAUUAUUGAGGUUUAAAACUAAUCCCGUAGGUAAAUGUAGAGGUAGCAUGCCGACGGCGAUCACAUCGACCUUGGAACCAUUCCCGACGCGCAUCGUCACCUCGUCCUUCGCCAGUCUCCGCUUAUUCCGCAGCUCCUGUUUUGAGUUACAAAUAUGAGCAACCGCACCAGUAUCAAAUACCCAGGAGCUACUACGAGCGCUGGUUAGGUACACAUCUAUAACAUGUAUAUCACAUAUACCUUUGGUAUUGCCGGCCUUCUUAUCCGCUAAGUACUUGGGGCAGUUUCGCUUCCAGUGACCGUUUACCUUGCAAUAAAAGCACUCUGUUUCAGGCUUGGGUCCAUGCUUUGGCUUCUUCCUGGUAACUGGCUUACCGGGCGCGGCAACUCCCUUGCCGUCCUUCUUGAAGUUCUUUUUACCCUUGCCUUUCUUGAACUUAGUGGUUUUAUUCACCAUCAACACUUGAUGUUCCUUUUUGAUCUCCACCUCCGCUGAUUUCAGCAUUGAAUAUACCUCAGGAAUGGUCUUUUCCAUCCCCUGCAUAUUGAAGUUCAUCACAAAGCUCUUGUAGCUAGGUGGGAGCGACUGAAGGAUUCUGUCAACGACCGCAUCAUCCGGGAGAUUAACUCCCAGCUGACAUAAGCGGUUGUGCAACCCAGACAUUUUGAGUAUGUGCUCGCUGACAGAACUAUUCUCCUCCAUCUUACAACUAUAGAACUUAUCGGAGACUUCAUAUCUCUCGACCCGGGCAUGAGCUUGGAAAACCAUUUUCAGCUCUUGGAACAUCUCAUAUGCUCCGUGUUGCUCAAAACGCUUUUGGAGCCCCGGUUCAAACCUGUAAAGCAUGCCGCACUGAACCAGGGAGCAAUCAUCACUACGCGACUGCCAGGCGUUCAUAACGUCUUGAGUUGCUGGGAAAACAGGUGCCUCACCAAGCGGUGCUUCAAGGACAUAUGCUUUCUUGGCAGCUAUGAGGAUAAUCCUCAAGUUACGGACCCAGUCCGUGUAGUUGCUACCAUCGUCUUUCAGCUUGGUUUUCUCUAGGAACGCGUUGAAGUUGAGGGCAACAUUAGCGUGGGACAUUUGAUCUACAAGACAUAUUGCAAAGUUUUAGACUAUGUUCAUGAUAAUUAAGUUCAUCUAAUUAAAUUAUUUAAUGAACUCCCACUCAGAUAGACAUCCCUCUAGUCAUCUAAGUGAUACAUGAUCCGAGUCAACUAGGCCGUGUCCGAUCAUCACGUGAGACGGACUAGUCAUCAUCGGUCAACAUCUUCAUGUUGAUCGUAUCUUCUAUAUGACUCAUGUUCGACCUUUCGGUCUUCCGUGUUCCGAGGCCAUGUCUGUACAUGCUAGGCUCGUCAAGUCAACCUAAGUGUAUUGCGUGUGUAAAUCUGGCUUACACCCGUUGUAUUCGAACGUUAGAAUCUAUCGCACCCGAUCAUCACGUGGUGCUUCGAAACAAUGAACCUUCGCAAUGGUGCACAGUUAGGGGGAACACUUUCUUGAAAUUAUUGUGAGGGAUCAUCUUAUUUAAGCUACCAUCGUUCUAAGCAAAUAAGAUGUAAAACAUGAUAAACAUCACAUGCAAUCAAAUAGUGACAUGAUAUGGCCAAUAUCAUUUUGCUCCUUUUGAUCUCCAUCUUCGGGGCGCCAUGAUCAUCAUCGUCACCGGCAUGACACCAGGAUCUCCAUCAUCGUGUCUUCAUGAAGUUGUCUCGCCAACUAUUACUUCUACUACUAUGGCUAACGGUUAGCAAUUAAGUAAAGUAAUUACAUGACGUUUAUGUUGACACGCAGGUCAUAAAUAAAUUAAGACAACUCCUAUGGCUCCUGUCGGUUGUCAUACUCAUCGACAUGCAAGUCGUGAUUCCUAUUACAAGAACAUGGUCAAUCUCAUGCAUCACAUAUAUCAUUCAUCACAUCCUUUUGGCCAUAUCACAUCACACGGCAUAUGCUGCAAGAACAAGUUAGACGUCCUCUAAUUGUUGUUGCAAAUUUUACGUGGCUGCUAUAGGUUUCUAGCAAGAACGUUUCUUACCUACGCCAAAACCACAACGUGAUAUGCCAAUUUCUAUUUACCCUUCGUAAGGACCCUUUUCAUCGAAUCCGAUCCGACUAAAGUGGGAGAGACAGACACCCGCUAGCCACCUUAUGCAACUAGUGCAUGUCAGUCGGUGGAACCUGUCUCACGUAAGCGUACGUGUAAGGUCGGUCCGGGCCGCUUCAUCCCACGGUGCCGCCGAAUCAAGAUAAGACUAGUAACGGCAAGUAAAUUGACAAAAUCGACGCCCACAACAACUUGUGUUCUACUCGUGCAUAGAAACUACGCAUAGACCUAGCUCAUGAUGCCACUGUUGGGGAUCGUUGCAGAAAUUAAAAAAUUUUCUACGCAUCACCAAGAUCAAUCUAUGGAGUUUACUAGCAACGAGAGGGGAGUGCAUCUUCAUACCUUUGAAGAUCGUGAUGCGGAAGCGUUGCAAGAUAGUGGUCGGUGGAGUCAUACACGAAGCGAUUCAGAUCACGGCCGAUUCCGAUCUAAGCACCGAACAACGGUGCCUCCGCGUUCAACACACGUGCAGCCCGGUGACGUCUCCCGCGCCUUGAUCAGCAAGGAGAGAGGGAGAGGUUGGGGAAGACUCCGUCCAGCAGCAGCACGACGGCGUGGUGGUGGUGGAGGAGCGUCGCACUCCAGCAGGGCUUCGCCAAUCACUGCGAGAGACGAGGAGGGAGAGGGGUAGGGCUGCGCCAAGAGAGAGGGAGACUCGUGUUUCUGGCAGCCCCAAAACCCCCACUAUAUAUAGGGGAAGGGGAGGGGGCCGGCCCCCUAGAUCCAUCUAGAGGGGGGCGGCGGCCCCUCGGGGGGGCAGCGGCCCCCUUAGGGUUUCCAACUAGGGGGGCGCCCGCCCCCAAGGGGGACAGCGGCCCCCCUAGGGUUUCCAACCCUAGGCGCCUUGGGCCCUUGGGGGGGCGCACCAGCCCACUAAGGGGCUGGUUCCCACCCAACUACAGCCCAUUAGGUCCUUCGGGGCAGGUGGACCCUCCCGGUGGACCCCCGGAACCCCUUCGGUGGUCCCGGUACAAUACCGAUAAACCCCAAAACCUUUCCGGUGACUGAAACUGGACUUCCCAUAUAUAAAUCUUCACCUCCGAACCAUUCCGGAACUCCUCGUGACGUCAGGGAUCUCAUCCGGGACUCUGAACAACAUUCGGUAACCACGUACAUCUAUUCCCUAUAACCCUAGCGUCAUCGAACCUUAAGUGUGUAGACCCUACGGGUUCGGGAAUUAUGCAGACAUGACCGAGACAUCUCUCCGGCCAAUAACCAACAGCGGGAUCUGGAUACCCAUGUUGGCUCCCACAUGUUCCACAAUGAUCUCAUCGGAUGAACCACGAUGUCAAGGAUUCAAUCAAUCCCGUGUACGAUUCGCUUUGUCUACCGGUAUAGCACUUGCCCGAGAUUCGAUCGUCAGUAUACCGAUACCUUGUUCAAUCUCGUUACGGCAAGUCUCUUUACUCAUUCCGUAACACAUCAUCCCGUGACCAACCCCUUAGUCACAUUGAGCUCAUUACGAUGAUGUCUUACCGAGUGGGCCCAGAGAUACCUCUCCGGCAUACGAAGUGACAAAUCCCAGUCUCGAUUCGUGCCAACCCAACAGAUACUUUCGGGGAUACCCGUAGUGUACCUUUAUAGCCACCCAGUUACGUUGUGACGUUUGGCACACCCAAAGCAUUCCUACGAUAUCCGGGAGUUGCACAAUCUCAUGGUCUAAGGAAAUGAUACUUGACAUUAGAAAAGCUUUAGCAGACGAACUACAUGAUCUUGUGCUAUGCUUAGGAUUGGGUCUUGUCCAUCACAUCAUUCUCCUAAUGAUGUAAUCCCGUUAUCAACGACAUCCAAUGUCCAUGGUCAGGAAACUGUAACCAUCUAUUGAUCAACGAGCUAGUCAACUAGAGGCUCACUAGGGACAUGUUGUGGUCUAUGUAUGCACACAUGUAUUACGAUUUCCGAAUAACACAAUUAUAGCAUGAACAAUAGACAAUUAUCAUGAAUAAGGAAAUAUAAUAAUAACCAUUUUAUUAUUGCCUCUAGGGCAUAUUUCCAACACUUGUAUAGGGCCUUAGAAUGAGAAGAAGACAAGAUACAUCUCUGUUGCAAUCGGACACAUACAAAUAAUGUCAAGUACAAAAAGUCAUUCCAAUAAUCCCAUGCACAAAUACAUAGGGUUGCAAGGCCUUGCCUCAACCCAUUGCCUUACAAAAUUACUCAUACUAGUAAGGUACACGUGCAUUGCACGCAUGAGAUUUGGCAACCAAAUUAUGGAUAAAUACCACACUAUAGCAUGUAACCUUUGAGUCAUAUAUGCAUGAUGUAGAUGUUCGUUUAAUUCUUAUAGUUCAUCUCAUUCAAAAUCAAUUAGUUUUUAUAAAAAAGUUGAUCUAUUUUAAGAUUCAUGGAAUUGUGCGUUGUAAAGAAUAAAGUAAAAACAAAUAAUGGCAAUUCAUCUAGACAAAAAGUUUGGGCAAUUAUGAUACGAAAGAGUCUAGAACAAAGGAGAAGUGCGUGUGUUUUGAGAUUUGUGCAUUAUGCUUAAGUUCAACCAUGGAGUCUUCUAGAUUGUACAUGUGGAAGAAUCUGGUGGAAUGUAGAUGAUAUCCAACGGCCAGUAGUGCUCGGAUUUGCCAUCUUUGCACUAUCGGAUUGGCUUCAUCCAAUGACCAUCUUUCAAAGUUAUUCGCACACUAUAUAGGGGUUCAGACAUGGCGAUCGAGUCGCAAGAUGAACUCAUUGAAGAUGACAUAAAGAUGAAUGUUUGAUUGAUAAUAUGGCUUGCAAUAACUGUCGGAUGUGAUAAACCGAUUACAAGUAUGACUAACUUUGAGAGGAAUGAUGUGGUGAUGAUGGUGACGUCGGCCAUGGAGAUGAGGUGGGCAAUGGUGGCAGCAGGGGUUGGAAGAUGGGUUCUACUCCCUCCGUUCCAAAUUACUCGUCAUGGUUUUAGUUCAAAUUUGAACUAAAAGCACGACGAGUAAUUUGGAACGGAGGGAGUAGUUCUCUGUUCAGUGAAUGGUUCUCUCCCUGUUGAUAUUUUGGUGUCAACUUCUUUAUAGAAGCUGGUCAGGUGAACCAUUUGAAGCUGGUGUUAUGUCGUACGAGUGGCGGUACGAGCUGGUGUGCUUGUACCAUGUGUUGUCUUGCGCUCUGUUUUGCCUACUGCACCUCCUAUUGACAUGCCUCUUCCACUAAACUUCGUACUUCCUUGUAUAUGAUGAUAUCCUCCCAUAUUUAUGCCCUUUUCCUGCAGAAGCACAUUAAACAAAGGAUUUACUAAUCUCGCAUUCAUUAGUCAUUAGUGGCAAUAUCAGAGUGAUUUUGUCCGAAAUUUCGAGAUUAUCAGCUUUAAGCAACGAUGCGAUGAGCGUAAAAACAUCACUCAUCACCAAUCUCAUGAAAUAGACUCGUAUGACUGUCGUAUUCCAUAGCCCAAUUAGGAUUGUGGCCCUUCAUACAAAGAAGUGGUGGAACCUAUAAAAAAUAAACAACCUAUUGCUUUCCUUCCUACUCAAUAACAACAAUUGAACAGUAGAUCUAAUUACCUGCCCUCUUUCGAUGGCCCUUGCAUGAUGCUUCGCUUCAUAAGAACCAUCAAGUCUAGGGUACCUAUUAACCCCCGCCAUCCUACAUAAUACAUAUAGGUAUAUUAAUACAAGCUACCAUAUCAUAAAUGUCCAUUUAUUUGUGAUCAUAUUUAUCCAAUGCCUAGAAGUUCAUGAAAAUCACAUAAAUAUGCCAACAAGUUUUUUAUCCAUAGACAUUACAAAGUUCAAACAAAUUUAAACAUAAACUUAUAAUUUAUUUUAGUGCUCAACAAACAGCCAACAAUACCUAUAUCCUACUAACAUGCCACUAACUUUUGAUGAAUGAUAUACAAUCAUAAAUACAUUUGAACAAUCAUAUACAAUCCCAAUGAUAAUUCUCUCUAAAUCACAUACAUAUUUCACCAAAACAUAGCCAUAUACAUAGAUAAUCCCUAAAUUUUUCGCUCUAAAGCAAGGAUUCCACGAUAAAUACAUGAUAGUUCAACUAUCUGUUGCUUCUCAACCAAAUCUAGCCCAAAUAAUCUUCAAUUUUGGGGGAAACUACUUUUAGCGUUUCACCAAUACACAAAAAUGCACCUAAAAUAGCAUAUUUGAAACGCAGAGAAUUGGAGGAAUAGGGGAGAAUACCUCAACAAGUUGGGAGGCUCAAAUCCACAAGUUUUGGCGGGCAAACACCUCGAUUUUAGGGGUAUUUGAUGGAGGAGAGAGGGGCGACGCCUCUGUUCUUCGUGGCGAAGUCGCCCCUGUUCUUCAUGGCGACGGGGAGGAAGACGACCCCAUGGGGUUGCGAAUGGGUUGGGUCCCACCCGCAAACACUUGCCUAUUUGCGGAAGAAAUAUCAAGGCCUGGAGUGUUUCCAAAAACACGUUUCACUUCGGUGUUUCCCCUGCCACGUAGGCGUUCAAUGGUGACUUGACCAGGUCGUGGGCAAGGCCAGAAAUACAAUUCACUUUAGUGUGUCUAGCUGGAGUAGAAAUGCCCGGAGGCUGCGUGUUUACCAAAAGAGUCAGAUCGUGCUAAAGUUCCUGAUAGCGUCAAUUUUUUUUAGAAAAGGAGGAUUACCCCAGCCUCUGCAUCUGGACGAUGCAUGCAGCCAUUUUAUUAAUUAUUCACCAAGACCUUACAAAGUAGUACAUCAGGUAGUCUGAAGCCACCAUCUUAGCAAUAGUUGUCUCUACUCCUAUCCACUUGAUGAAGGUGUGCCGAUAGUCCGAGCCUAAUACCAAACAUAUAUCGCACAAAUGAAGGAAAUAUGCCCUAGAGGCAAUAAUAAAGUUUUUAUUUAUAUUUCCUUAUAUCAUGAUAAAUGUUUAUUAUUCAUGCUAGAAUUGUAUUAACCGGAAACUUAGUACAUGUGUGAAUACAUAGACAAACAGAGUGUCACUAGUAUGCCUCUAUUUGACUAGCUCGUUAAUCCAAGAUGGUUAAGUUUCCUAGCCAUAGACAUGAGUUGUCAUUUGAUGAAUGGGAUCACAUCAUUAGAGAAUGAUGUGAUUGACAAGACCCUGAUACGUCUCCAACGUAUCUAUAAUUUUUUAUUGUUCCAUGCUAUAUUAUAUUCUGUUUUGGAUGUUUAAUGGGCUUUAUUAUACACUUUUAUAUCAUUUUUGGGACUAACCUAUUAACCGGAGGCCCAGCCCAAAUUGCUGUUUUUUGCCUAUUUCAGUGAUUGGCAGAAAAAGAAUAUCAAACGGAGUCCAAACGGAAUGAAACCUUCAGGAACGUGAUUUUCGGAACGAACGUGAUCCAGAGGACUUGGACCCUACGUCAAGAAAGCAACCAGGAGAGCACGAGGUAGGGGGGCGCGCCUACCCCCAGGGCGCACCCUCCACCCUCGUGGGGCCCAUGUUGCUCCACCGACGUACUUCUUCCUCCUAUAUAUACCUACGUACCCCCAAACCAACAUAAGCAUCCACGAAAACCUCAUUCCACCGCUGCAACCUUCUGUACCCGUGAGAUCCCAUCUUGGGGCCUUUUCCGGCGUCCUGCCGGAGGGGGCAUUGAUCACGGAGGUCUUCUACAUCAACACCAUAGCCUCUCCGAUGAUGUGUGAGUAGUUUACCUCAGACCUUCGGGUCCAUAGUUAUUAGCUAGAUGGCUUCUUCUCUCUCUUUGGAUCUCAAUACCAUGUUCUCCCCGAUUAUCGUGGAGAUCUAUUCGAUGUAAUCUUCUUUUGCGGUGUGUUUGUUGAGACCGAUGAAUUGUGGGUUUAUGAUCAAGUUUAUCUAUGAACAAUAUUUGAAUCUUCUCUGAAUUCUUUUAUGUAUGAUUGGUUAUCUUUGCAAGUCUCUUCGAAUUAUCAGUUUGGUUUGGCCUACUAGAUUGAUCUUUCUUGCAAUGGGAGAAGUGCUUAGCUUUGGGUUCAAUCUUGCGGUGUCCUUUCCCAGUGACAGCAGGGGCAGCAAGGCACGUAUUGUAUUGUUGCCAUCGAGGAUAACAAGAUGGGGUUUAUAUCAUAUUGCAUGAGUUUAUCCCUCUACAUCAUGUCAUCUUACUUAAAGCAUUACUCUGUUCUUAUGAACUUAAUACUCUAGAUGCAUGCUGGAUAGCGGUCGAUGUGUGGAGUAAUAGUAGUAGAUGCAGGCAGGAGUCGGUCUACUUGUCUCGGACGUGAUGCCUAUAUACAUGAUCAUACCUAGAUAUUCUCAUAACUAUGCUCAAUUCUAUCAAUUGCUCAACAGUAAUUUGUUUACCCACCGUAAUAUUUAUGCUCUUGAGAGAAGCCACUAGUGAAACCUAUGCCCCCCGGGUCUAUUUUCCAUCAUAUUAAUCUUCCAACACUUAGUUAUUUCUUGCGCCGUUUAUUUUGCUUUCUUUACUUUUAAUCUUUAUCCUAAAAAUACCAAAAAUAUUAUCUUAUCAUAUCUAUCAGAUCUCACUCUCGUAAGUGACCGUAGAGGGAUUGACAACCCCUUUAUCGCGUUGGUUGCGAGGUUUUUGUUUGUUUGUGUAGGUGCGAGGGACUCGUGCGUGGUCUCCUACUGGAUUGAUACCUUGGUUCUCAAAAACUGAGGGAAAUACUUACGCUACUUUACUGCAUCACCCUUUCCUCUUCAAGGGAAAACCAACGCAGUGCUCAAGAGGUAGCAAGAAGGAUUUCUGGCGCCGUUGCCGUGGAGUCUAUGCAAAAGUCAACAUACCAAGUACCCAUCACAAACUCAUCUCCCACGCAUUACAUUAUUUGCCAUUUGCCUCUCGUUUUCCUCUCCCCCACUUCACCCUUGCAGUUUUAUUCGCCCUCUCUUUUCCAUUCGCCUCUUUUUCGCUUGCUUCUUCUUUGCUCAUUUGUUGGAUUGCUUGCUUGUCACGAUGGCUCAAGAUAAUACUAAAUUGUGUGACUUUAUCAAUACCAAGAACGAUGAUUUUCUUAGCACCCCGAUUGCUCCUCUUACCGAUCCUGAAUCCUGUGAAAUUAAUGCUGCUUUAUUGAAUCUUGUCAUGAAAGAUCAAUUCGCCGGCCUUCCUAGUGAAGAUGCCGCUACCCAUCUAAAUAGCUUCGUUGAUUUGUGUGAUAUGCAAAAGAAGAAAGAUGUGGACAAUGAUAUUGUUAAAUCGAAGCUAUUUCCUUUUUCGCUUAGAGAUCGCGCUAAGCUUGGUUUUCGUCUUUGCCUAAAAAUAGUAUUGAUUCAUGGAAUAAGUGCAAAGAUGCUUUUAUCUCUAAGUAUUUUCCUCCCGCUAAAAUCAUCUCUCUUAGAAAAGAUAUUAUGAAUUUUAAGCAACUUGAUCAUGAACAUGUUGCACAAGCUUGAGAGAGGAUUAAAUUAAUGAUACGUAAUUGCCCUACACAUGGUUUGAAUCUUUGGAUGAUUAUACAAAAAAUUUAUGCCGGAUUGAAUUUUGCUUCUAGAAAUCAUUUAGAUUCGGCCGUGGGAGGCACUUUUAUGAAAAUCACUUUAGGAGAAGCUACUAAACUCCUAGAUAAUAUUAUGGUUAAUUAUUCUCAAUGGCACACCGAAAGAUCUACUAAUAAAAAAGUGCAUGCGAUAGAAGAAAUUAAUGUUUUGAGUGGAAAGAUGGAUGAACUUAUGAAAUUAUUUGCUAUUAAAAGUGUUUCUUCUGAUCCUAAUGAUAUGCCUUUGUCUACUUUGAUUGAGAAUAAUAACGAAUCUAUGGAUGUGAAUUUUGUUGGUAGGAAUAAUUUUGGUAACAACGCGUAUAGAGGAAACUUUAAUCCUAGGCCAUAUCCUAGUAAUGCCUCUAAUAAUUAUGGUAAUUCCUACAACAACUCUUAUGGAAAUUUUAAUAAGAUGCCCUCUGAAUUUGAGACUAGUGUUAAGGAGUUUAUGAAUUCGCAAAAGAAUUCCAAUGCUUUGCUUGAAGAAAAAUUGCUCAAAGUUGAUGAAUUGGCUAGGAACGUUGAUAGAAUUUCUUGAUGUUGAUUCUUUGAAACUUAGAUCUAUUCCACCCAAGCAUGGUAUCAAUGAGUCUCUCAAAGCCAUGAGAAUUUCCAUUGAUGAGUGCAAAGAAAGAACCGCUAGGAUGCGUGCUAAGAAAGAUUGCUUUGUGAAGGCGUGUUCUUCUAACUUUUAUGAAAAUAAAGAUGAAGAUCUAAAAGUUAUUGAUGUGUCCCCUAUUAAAUCUUUGUUUUGCAAUAUGAAUCCUGAUAAUGAUGGGACUGAAUAUGAACCACCUUUACCUAGAAGGCAUUCCAAAAAUUCGGAGUCUUUAGAUCUUGAUGCUAAAAUUGGUAAAAGUGGGAUUGAAAAGAUCAGAACUCUAGAUAUUAAUGAACCCACUAUUUUGGAUUUCAAGGAAUUUAAUUAUGAUAAUUUCUCUUUGAUAGAUUGUAUUUCCUUGUUGCAAUCUGUGCUAAAUUCUCCUCAUGCUUAUAGCCAAAAUAAAGCUUUUACUAAACAUAUCGUUGAUGCUUUGAUGCAAUCUUAUGAAGAAAAACUUGAGUUGGAAGUUUCUAUCCCUAGAAAACUUUAUGAUGCGUGGGAGCAUACUAUUAAAAUUAAAAUUAAAGAUCAUGAAUGCUAUGCUUUGUGUGAUUUGGGUGGUUUCCACGAUUCCAAAAACUUUAUGUGAUUUGCUAGGUUUCCGUGAUUUUGAUGAUUGCUCUUUAAACUUGCACCUUGCGGAUUCCACUAUCAAGAAACCUAUGGGAAGAAUUAAUGAUGUUCUUAUUGUCACAAAUAGGAAUAUGUGCCCGUAGAUUUUAUUGUUCUUGAUAUAGAUUGCAAUCCUUCAUGUCCUAUUAUUCUUGGUAGACCUUUCCUUAGAACGAUUGGUGCAAUUAUCGAUAUGAAGGAAGGGAAUAUUAGAUUCCAAUUUCUGUUAAGGAAAGGCAUGGAACACUCCCCUAGAAAGAAAAUAAAAUUACCUUAUGAAUCUAUUAUGAGAGCCACUUAUGGAUUGCCUACCAAAGAUGGCAAUACCUAGAUCUAUCCUUGCUUUUAUGCCUAGCUAGGGGUGUUUAACGAUAGCGCUUGUUGGGAGGCAACCCAAUUUUAUUUUUAGGUUUUUGCUUUUUGCUUCUGUUUAGGAAUAAAUAUUUGUUCUAGCCUCUGGUUAGAUUUGUUUUUAUGUUUUAAUUAGUGUUUGUGCCAAGUUAAACCUAUAGGAUCUUCUUGGAUGAUAGUUAUUUGAUCUUGCUGAAAAUUCCAGAAACUUUAUGUUCACGAAAAUAAUUGUUAAAAAUCAAUAGAAUGUGGUAAAUAUUGAUUCCAAUUGCUGCUUAUCAAUAAACAAAUUGUCUAGGUCGUCCUAUUUUGGCUGAAUUUUUUUGAGUUCCAGAACUUUGCGUUAGUUACAGAUUACUACAGACUUUUUGACAGAUUCUGUUUUUCGUGUGUUGUUUGCUUAUUUUGAUGAAUCUAUGGCUAGUAAAAUAGUUUAUAAACCAUAGAGAAGUUGGAAUACAGUAGGUUUAACACCAAUAUAAAUAAACAAUGAGUUCAUUACAGUACCUUGAAGUGGUGUUUUGUUUUCUUUCGCUAACGGAGCUCACGAGAUUUUCUGCUAAGUUUUGUGUUGUGAAGUUUUCAAGUUUUGGGUAGAAGAUUUGAUGGAUUAUGGAACAAGGAGUGGCAAGAGCCUAAGCUUGGGGAUGCCCAUGGAACCCCAAGAUAAUCUAAGGACACCAAAAAGCCAAAGCUUGGGGAUGCCCCGGAAGGCAUCCCCUCUUUCGUCUACUUCCAUCGGUAACUUUACUUGGAGCUAUAUUUUUAUUCACCACAUGAUAUGUGUUUUGCUUGGAGCGUCUUGUAUUAUUUGAGUCUUUGCUUUUUAGUUUACCACAAUCAUCCUUGCUGUACACACCUUUUGAGAGAGACACACACAAAUCGGAAUUUAUUAGAAUACUCUAUGUGCUUCACUUAUAUCUUUUGAGCUAUAUAGUUUUUGCUCUAGUGCUUCACUUAUACUUUUUAGAGCACGGCGGUGGUUGUAUUUUAUAGAAAUUAUUGAUCUCUCAUGCUUCACUUAUAUUAUUUUGAGAGUCUUAAAACAGCAUGGCAAAUUGCUUUAAUUAUAAUAUCAUGAGAAAUUUGAUGCUUGAUAAUUGUUUUGAGAUAUAAAGGUGGUAAUAUCAUAGUUGUGCUAGUUGAGUAAUUGUGAAAUUGAGAAAUACUUUUGUUGGAGUUUGUGAUUCCCGUAGCAUGCACGUAUGGUGAACUGUUAUGUAACAAAGUCGGAGCAUGAGGUAUUUGUUGAUUGUCAUCCUUUGUGUGGCGGUCGGGAUCGCGCGAUGGUUAACUCCUACCAACCCUUCCCCUAGGAGCAUGCGUAGUAGUACUUUGCUUCGAGGGCUAAUAAAUUUUUGCAAUAAGUAUAUGAGUUCUUUAUGACUAAUGAGAGUCCAUGGAUUAUACGCACACUUACCUUUCCGCAAUUUUCUAGCCUCUUCGGUACCGUGCAUUGCCCUUUCUCACCUUGAGAGUUGGUGCAAACUUCGCCGGUGCAUCCAAACCCCCGUGAUAUGAUACGCUCUAUCACACAUAAACCUCCUUAUAUCUUCCUCAAAACAGCCACCAUACCUACCUAUUAUGGCAUUUCCAUAGCCAUUCCGAGAUAUAUUGCCAUGCAACUUUCCACCGUUUCGUUUAUCAUGACACGCUCCAUCAUUGUCAUAUUGCUUCGCAUGAUCAUGUAGUUGACAUCGUAUUUGUGGCAAAGCCACCGUUCAUAAUUCUUUCAUACAUGUCGCUCUUGAUUCAUUGCAUAUCCCGGUACACCGCUGGAGGCAUUCACAUAGAGUCAUAUCUUGUUCCAAGUAUUGAGUUGUAAUUCAUGAGUUGUAAGUAAAUAAAAGUGUGAUGAUCAUCAUUAUUAGAGCAUUGUCCCAAGUGAGGAAAGGAUGAUGGAGACCAUGAUUCCCCCACAAGUCGGGAUGAGACUCCGGACUAAAAAAAGAGCCCAUAAAGAAAGGAGAGAAAAGGCCCCAAUAAAAAAUGAGAAAAAAGAGAGAAGGGACAAUGUUACUAUCCUUUUACCACACUUGUGCUUCAAAGUAGCACCGUGAUCUUCAUGAUAGAGAGUCUCUCAUUUUGUCACUUUCAUAUACUAGUGGGAAAUUUCAUUAUAGAACUUGGCUUGUAUAUUCCAAUGAUGGGCUUCCUCAAAUGCCCGAGGUCUUCAUGAGCAAGCAAGUUGGAUGCACACCCACUUAGUUUCUUUUUUGAGCUUUCAUACACUUAUAGCUCUAGUGCAUCCGUUGCAUGGCAAUCCCUACUCCUUGCAUUGACAUCAAUUGAUGGGCAUCUCCAUAGCCCGUUGAUUAGCCUUGUCGAUGUUAGACUUUCUCCUUUUUUGUCUUCCCACAUAACCCCCAUCAUUAUACCUUAUUCCACCAUAGUGUUAUAUCCAUGGCUUGCGCUCAUGUAUUGCGUAAAAGUUGAAAAGGCUGAAGCGCAUUAAAAAGUAUGAACCAAAUGCUUGGCUAAAACCGGGGUUGUACAUGAUAUGAAUAUUUUGUGUGGGGAAGAUGGAGCAUAGCCAGACUAUAUGAUUUUGUAGGGAUAACUUGCUUUGGCUAUGUUAUUUUGAUAAGACAUAAUUGCUUGGUUAGCAUGCUUGAAGUAUUAUUAUUUUUAUGUCAACAUUAAACUUUUAUCUUGAAUCAUAUCGAAUCUGAACAUUCGUGCCACAAUAAGAAGAACUACAUUGAAAUUAUGCUAAAGUAGCAUUCCACAUCAAAAAUUCUGUUUUUAUCAUUUACCUACUCGAGGACGAGCAGGAAUUAAGCUUGGGGAUGCUUGAUACGUCUCCAACGUAUCUAUAAUUUUUUAUUGUUCCAUGCUAUAUUAUAUUCUGUUUUGGAUGUUUAAUGGGCUUUAUUAUACACUUUUAUAUCAUUUUUGGGACUAACCUAUUAACCGGAGGCCCAGCCCAAAUGGCUGUUUUUUUUGCCUAUUUCAGUGAUUCGCAGAAAAAGAAUAUCAAACGGAGUCCAAACGGAAUGAAACCUUCGGGAACGUGAUUUUCGGAAUGAACGUGAUCCAGAGGACUUGGACCCUAUGUCAAGAGGGCAACCAGGAGAGCACGAGGCAGGGGGGCACCUACCCCCCAGGGCGCGCCCUCCACCCUCGUGGGGCCCAUGUUGCUCCACCGACGUACUUCUUCCUCCUAUAUAUACCUACAUACCCCCAAACCAACAGAAGCAUCCACGAAAACCUAAUUCCACCGCCGCAACCUUCUGUACCCGUGAGAUCCCAUCUUGGGGCCUUUUCCGGCGUCCUGCCAGAGGGGGCAUUGAUCACGGAGGGCUUCUACAUCAACACCAUAGCCUCUCCGAUGAUGUGUGAGUAGUUUACCUCAGACCUUCGGGUCCAUAGUUAUUAGCUAGAUGGCUUCUUCUCUCUCUUUGGAUCUCAAUACCAUGUUCUCCCUGAUUCUCUUGGAGAUCGAUGUAAUCUUCUUUUGCGGUGUGUUCGUUGAGACCGAUGAAUUGUGGGUUUAUGAUCAAGUUUAUCUAUGAACAAUAUUUGAAUCUUCUCUGAAUUCUUUUAUGUAUGAUUGGUUAUCUUUGCAAGUCUCUUCGAAUUAUCAGUUUGGUUUGGCCUACUAGAUUGAUCUUUCUUGCAAUGGGAGAAGUGCUUAGCUUUGGGUUCAAUCUUGCGGUGUCCUUUCCCAGUGACAGCACGGGCAGCAAGGCACGUAUUGUAUUGUUUCCAUCGAGGAUAACAAGAUGGGGUUUAUAUCUUAUUGCAUGAGUUUAUCCCUCUACAUCAUGUCAUCUUACUUAAAGCGUUACUCUGUUCGUAUGAACUUAAUACUCUAGAUGCAUGCUGGAUAGCGGUCGAUGUGUGGAGUAAUAGUAGUAGAUGCAGGCAGGAGUCGGUCUACUUGUCUCGGACGUGAUGCCUAUAUACAUGAUCAUACCUAGAUACUCUCAUAACUAUGCUCAAUUCUACCAAUUGCUCAACAGUAAUUUGUUUACCCACCGUAAUAUUUAUGCUCUUGAGAGAAGCCACUAGUGAAACCUAUGGCCCCCGGGUCUAUUUUCCGUCAUAUUAAUCUUCCAACACUUAGUUAUUUCUUGCGCCGUUUAUUUUGCUUUCUUUACUUUUAGUCUUUAUCCUAAAAAUACCAAAAAUAUUAUCUUAUCAUAUCUAUCAGAUCUCACUCUCGUAAGUGACCGUAGAGGAAUUAACAACCCCUUUAUCGCGUUGGUUGCGAGGUUCUUGUUUGUUUGUGUACGUGCGAGGGACUCGUGCGUGGUCUCCUAAUGGAUUGAUACCUUGGUUCUCAAAAACUAAGGGAAAUACUCACGCUACUUUACUGCAUCACCCUUUCCUCUUCAAGGGGAAACCAACGCAGUGCUCAAGAGGUAGCAGACCCAUCCGUUAGCUUAGCACUAUGAUCGUUUAGUUUGUUGCUAUUGCUUUCUUCAUGACUUAUACAUGUUCCUAUGACUAUGAGAUUAUGCAACUCCCGAAUACCGGAGGAACACUUAGUGUGCUAUCAAACGUCACAACGUAACUGGGUGAAUAUAAAGAUGCUCUACAAGUGUCUCCGAUGGUGCUUGUUGAGUUGGCAUAGAUCGAGAUAAGGAUUUGUCACUCCGAUUGUCGGAGAGGUAUCUCUGGGCCCUCUCGGUAAUGCUCAUCACUAUAAGCCUUGCAAGCAAUGUAACUAAUGAGUUAGUUACGGGAUGAUGCAUUACGGAACGAGUAAAGAGACUUUCCGGUAACGAGAUUGGACUAGGUAUAGUGAUAUUGACGAUUGAAUCCCGGGCAAGUAACAUACCGAUGACAAAGGGAACAACGUAUGUUGUUAUGCGUUUUGACUGAUAAAGAUGUUCGUAGAAUAUGUGGGAGCCAAUAUGAGCAUCCAGGUUCCGCUAUUGGUUAUUGACCGGAGAUGAGUCUCGGUCAUGUCUACAUAGUUCUCGAACCCGUAGGGUCCGCACGCUUAACGUUCGAUAACUAUCGGUAUUAUGAGUUUAUGUGUUUUGAUGUACCGAAGGUAGUUCGGAGUCCCGGAUGAGAUCACGGACAUGACGAGGAGUCUCGAAAUGGUCGAGACGUAAAGAUCGAUAUAUUGGAAGGCUAUAUCCAGACAUCGGAAAGAUUCUGAGUGGUUCGGGUAUUUUUCGGAGUACCGGAGAGUUACGGGAAUUCGCCGGGUGAAGUAUUGGGCCUUCAUGGGCCUUAGUGGAAAGGAGAGAAGGGCCACAAGGGGAGGCCGCGCGCCCCCCAUGACUUGUCCGAAUUGGACUAGGGAGGGGGCGGUGCCCCCCUCUUUCCUUCUCCCUCUCCUACUCCUUCCCUCUCUCCCCUCUUGGAAAAGGAAGGGGACUCCAACUAGGAUUGGGAAUCCUAGUUGGACUCCCCCUAUAGGCGCGCCCCUCCUAGGCCGGCCUCCUCUUCCCCCCUCCUUUAUAUACGUGGCCAGGGGGCACCCCAUAGACACACAAGUUGAUCUUUAGGCGUGUGCGGUGCCCCCCUCCACAGUUUUACACCUCGGUCAUAUCGUCGUAGUGCUUAGGCGAAGCCCUGCGCCGGUAACUUCAUCAUCACCGUCACUACGCCGUCGUGCUGACGAAACUCUCCCUUGGCCUCGGCUGGAUCAAGAGUUCGAGGGACGUCACCGAGCUGAACAUGUGCAGAUCGCGGAGGUGCCGUGCGUUUGGUACUUGAUCGGUUGGAUCGCGAAGACGUUCGACUACAUCAACCGCGUUACUAAACGCUUCCGCUUUCGGUCUAUGAGGGUACAUGGACACACUCUUCCCACUCGUUGCUAUGUGAUAACCCACAAGUAUAGGGGAUCGCAACAGUUUUUAGGGUAGAGUAUUCAACCCAAAUUUAUUGAUUCGACACAAGGGGAGCCAAAGAAUAUUCUCAAGUAUUAGCAGUUCAGUUGUCAAUUCAACCACACCUAGAUAACUUAGUAUCUGCAGCAAAGUAUUUAGUAGCAAAGUAAUAUGGAAGUAACGGUAACGAUAGCAAAAGUAAUAUUUUUGGGUUUUGUAGUGAUUGUAACAGUAGCAACGGAAAAGUAAAUAAGCGAGGAACAAUAUAUGAAAAGCUCGUAGGCAUUGGAUCGGUGAUGGAGAAUUAUGCCGGAUGCGGUUCAUCAUGUAACAAUCAUAACAUAGGGUGACACAGAACUAGCUCCAAUUCAUCAAUGUAAUGUAGGCAUGUAUUCCGAAUAUAGUCAUACGUGCUUAUGGAAAAGAACUUGCAUGACAUCUUUUGUCCUACCCUCCCGUGGCAGCGGGGUCCUAAUGGAAACUAAGGGAUAUUAAGGCCUCCUUUUCAUAGAGUACCGGAACAAAGCAUUAGCACAUAGUGAAUACAUGAACUCCUCAAACUACGGUCAUCACCGGGCGUGGUCCCGAUUAUUGUCACUUCGGGGUUGCCGGAUCAUAACACAUAGUAGGUGACUAUAGACUUGCAAGAUAGGAUCAAGAACUCACAUAUAUUCAUGGAAACAUAAUAGGUUCAGAUCUGAAAUCAUGGCACUCGGGCCCUAGUGACAAGCAUUAAGCAUAGCAAAGUCAUAGCAACAUCAAUCUCAGAACAUAGUGGAUACUAGGGAUCAAACCCUAACAAAACUAACUCGAUUACAUGAUAGAUCUCAUCCAACCCAUCACCGUCCAGCAAGCCUACGAUGGAAUUAGUCACGCACGGCGGUGAGCAUCAUGAAAUUGGUGAUGGAGGAUGGUUGAUGAUGACGACGGCGACGGAUUCCCCUCUUCGGAGCCCCUAACGGACUCAAGAUCAGCCCUCCGAGAGGUUUUAGGGCUUGGCGGCGGCUCCGUAUCGUAAAACGCAAUGAAUCCUUCUCUCUGAUUUUUUUCUCCCCGAAAGUGAAUAUAUGGAGUUGGAGUUGAGGUCGGUGGAGCUUCAGGGGGCCCACGAGGCAGGGGGCGCGCCCUGGGGGGGCAGGUGUGCCCCCCACCCUCGUGGACAGGGUGUGGGCCCCCUGACGUGGAUUUUUCUUUCAGUAUUUUUAAUAUUUUUGAAAAAGAUGUUCCGUGGAGUUUCAGGUCAUUCUGAGAACUUUUGUUUCUGCACAUAAAUAACACCAUGGAAAGUCUGCUGAAAACAACGUCAGUCCGGGUUAGUUCCAUUCAAAUCAUGCAAGUUAGAGUCCAAAACAAGGGCAAAAGUGUUUGGAGAAGUAGAUACGACGGAGACGUAUCAACUCCCCCAAGCUUAAACCUUUGCUUGUCCUCAAGCAAUUCAGUUGAUAAACUGAAAGUGAUAAAGAAAAACUUUUACAAACUCGGUUUGCUCUUGUUGUUGCAAAUAUGUAAAGCCAGCAUUCAAGUUUUCGGCAAAGAUUAUGACUAACCACAUUCACAAUAACUCUUAGGUCUCAUGUUUACUCAUAUCAAUGGCAUAAUCAACUAGCGAGCAAUAAUAAUAAAUCUCGGAUGACAACACUUUCUCAAAACAAUCAUGAUAUAUAUAAUAGGAUGGUAUCUCACUAGCCCUUUCUGAGACCGCAAAACAUAAAUGCAGAGCACCUUUAAAGAUCAAGGACUGACUAGACAUUGUAAUUCAUGGUAAAAGAGAUCCAGUCAUAGUCAUACCCAAUAUAAAUUAACAGUAAUGGAUGCAAAUGACAGCAGUGCUCUCCAGCUGGUGCUUUUUAAUAAGAGGGUGAUGACUCAACAUAAAAGUAAAUAGAUAGGCCCUUCGCAGAGGGAAGCAGGGAUUUGUAGAGGUGCCAGAGCUCGAUUUUGAAAUAGAGAUAAAUAAUAUUUUGAGCGGCAUACUUUCAUUGUCAACAUAACAACCAAGAGAUGGCAAUAUCUUCCAUGCUACUCACAUUAUAGGCGGUUCCCAAACAGAAUGGUAAAGUUUAUACUCGCCCUCCACCAACAAGCAUCAAUCCAUUGCUUGCUCGAAACAAUGAGUGCCUCCAACUAGCAAUAGUCCCAGGGGGAGUUUUGUUUGCAAUUAUUUUGAUUUAGUUUGCAUAAAGCAUGGGACUGGGCAUCCUGGUGACUAGCCAUUUUCUCGUGAGUGAGGAGCGGAGUCCACUCCUCUUGAGAAUAACCCGCCUAGCAUGGAAGAUACGGACAACCCUAGUUGAUACAUGAGCUAUUCGAGCAUACAAAACAGAAUUUCAUUUGAAGGUUUGGAGUUUGGCACAUGCAAAUUUACUUGGAACGGCAGGUAGAUACCGCAUAUAGGAAGGUAUAGUGGACUCAUAUGGAAUAACUUUGGGGUUUAAGGGAUUGGAUGCACAAGCAGUAUUCCCGCUUAGUACAAGUGAAGGCUAGCAAAAGACUGGGAAGCGACCAACUAGAGAGCGACAACAGUCAUGAACAUGCAUUAAAAUUAAUAGACAUUGAGUACGAGCAUGAGUAGGAUAUAAUCCACCAUGAACAUAAAUAUCGUGAAGGCUAUGUUGAUUUGUUUCAACUACAUGUGUGAACAUGUGCCAAGUCGAGUCACUUAAAUCAUUCAAAGGAGGAUACCACCCCACUAUACCACAUCACAACCAUUUUAAUAGCAUGUUGGCACGCAAGGUAAACCAUUAUAACUCAUAGCUAAUCAAGCAUGGCACGAGCAACUAUGAUCUCUAAUUGUCAUUGCAAACAUGUUUAUUCAUAAUAGGCUGAAUCAGGAACGAUGAACUAAUCAUAUUUACAAAAACAAGAGAGGUCGAGUUCAUACCAGCUUCUCUCAUCUCAGUCAGUCCAUCAUAUAUCGUCAUAAUUGCCUUUCACUUGCACGACCGAACGAUGUGAAUAAUAAUAAGAGUGCACGUGCAUUGGACUAAGCUGGAAUCUGCGAGCAUUCAAUAAACAGGAGAAGACAAGGCAAUAUGGGCUCUUGGUUAAAUCAACAAUAAUGCAUAUAAGAGCCACUUCAACAAUUUAAUUAUGGUCUUCUCCUAUCGACCCCCAAAGAAAAGAAAAGAAAUAAAACUAUUUACACGGGAAAGCUCCCAACAAGCAAAAGAAGAACAGGAAAUAUGUUUGGGUUUUCUAUUAAUUAUUACUACUACAGAAAGAAAGGUAAAUUAACUAAAAGCUACUACUAUUUUUUUUGUUUUUCUUAAGGUUUAACAAACACACAAGAAGAAAGCAAGAAAAAGAAAAUAAACUAGCAUGGAUAUUACAGUGAAAGAGUAUGAGCACCGACAUCUAGCAAUGAGUGUGUGAACAUGAAUGUAAUGUCGGUGGGAAAUACGUACUCCCCCAAGCUUAGGCUUUUGGCCUAAGUUGGUUUAUUGCCACGGAUGGCCUGGCGGAUAUCCAUAGUUGUAGCUGGGGUCGUACUGCGCUGCGGCAGUUAUUGCCUCAUGAGCUGCAGCGUGACGGCGAGCUACCUCCGCCCUCCUCUCGUACUCAUCUGCCUCCUCUCUGGUAAUAAAAUGUCUUCCUUUUGCCUGAUAAUCAAAGAAGGCAGGAGCAGGGAGAGUAAUACGGACAGCACGACGUCUGUCAAAGAUUAAGCGAUACUGGAGAGGUGAUUCAUUCCUCUCGACAAACUGGUAGUGAACCAUAGCAUUAAAGUCUAGGUAAGUAGGAGGCAAUUCAAUAUCAUCAUCACGUAUGCUUACACCAAGAAAAUCAGCUAAGCGGGUUGCAUAAAUUCCACCAAAGAAAUCUCCAUUAAAUCUAUUAUGAUGCAACCUACGUGCUUGAGCUGGAUGGUGAUUUUUUUGGGAGGAAGAAGAAGUGUGUUGGUGCAGGAAUAAGGGGAGGGGAGCCACCAUGAGCCCACGAGGCAGGGGGCGCGCCCUCCACCCUCGUGGUCAGGUGCUUGCCCCUCCUGUUGUGUUCUCAGUGCCAGAUAUUCUCAAAUAUUCCAGAAAAAUCAUAUUCCAUUUUCAGGGCAUUUGGAGAACUUUUAUUUUCGGGGUAUUUUUAUAUUGCACGGAUAAAUCAGAAAACAGACAGAAAAAUACUAUUUUUACUUUAUUUCAACUAAAUAACAGAAAGUAGAAAGAGGGUGCAGAAGGUUGUGCCUUCUAGUUUCAUCCAUCUCAUGCUCAUCAAAAGGAAUCCACUAACAAGGUUGAUCAAGUCUUGUUAACAAACUCAUUUCGAAUAACAUGGAACCGGAGAAAUUUCGAAUAACACUAUGUUACCUCAACGGGGAUAUGCACAUCCCCAAUAAUAAGAAUAUCAAAUUUCUUCUUGACAGUAGGAAGAGGAAAUUCAAAACCUCCAAAAAUAAUCGAUGGAAUUUUUCCAAUAGAAUUGAUACUGUGGACUUGAGGUUGUUUCCUCGGAAAGUGUACCGUAUGCUCAUUACCAUUAACAUGAAAAGUGACAUUGCCUUUGUUGCAAUCAAUAACAGCCCCUGCAGUAUUCAAAAAGGGUCUUCCAAGAAUAAUAGACAUACUAUCGUCCUCAGGAAUAUCAAGAAUAACAAAGUCCGUUAAAAUAGUAACGUUUGCAACCACAACAGGCACAUCCUCACAAAUACCGACAGGUAUAGCAGUUGAUUUAUCAGCCAUUUGCAAAGAUAUCUCAGUAGGUGUCAACUUAUUCAAAUCAAGUCUAUGAUAUAAAGAGAGGGGCAUAACACUAACACCGGCUCCAAGAUCACAUAAAGCAGUUUUAACAUAGUUUCUUUUAAUGGAGCAUGGUAUAGUAGGUACUCCUGGAUCUCCAAGUUUCUUUGGUAUUCCACCUUUAAAAGUGUAAUUAGCAAGCAUGGUGGAAAUUUCAGCUUCCGGUAUCUUUCUUUUAUUAGUAACAAUAUCUUUCAUAUACUUAGCAUAAGGAUUCAUUUUGAGCAUAUCAGUUAAUCGCAUACGCAAAAAGAUAGGUCUAAUCAUUUCAGCAAAGCGCUCAAAAUCCACACCAUCCUUUUUCUGGGAUGGUUUGGGAGGAAAAGGCAUGGGUUUCUGAACCCAUGGUUCUCUUUCUUUACCGUGUUUCCUAGCAACAAAGUCUCUCUUAUCAUAACGUUGAUUCUUUGAUUGUGGGUUAUCAAGAUCAACAGCAAGUUCAGUUUCCACAUCAUUAUCAUUACUAGGUUGAGCAUCAUCAUGAACAUCAUCAUUAACAUUUUCAUUAGGUUCAUGUUCAUUACCAGAUUGUGUUUCAGCAUCGGAAAUAGAUAUAUCAUUUGGAUUCUCAGGUGGUUCAGCAAUAGGUUCACUAGAAGCAUGCAAAGUCCUAUCAUUUUUGUUUUUCUUCCUUUUAGAGGGACUAGGUGCAUCUAUAUUAUUUCUCUAAGAAUCUUGCUCAAUUCUCUUAGGGUGGCCUUCCGGAUACAAUGGUUCCUGAGUCAUCUUACCAGUUCUAGUAGCCACUCUAACAGCAUAAUCAUCAUUCUUACUAUUCAAUUCAUUGAGCAAAUCAUUUUGAGCCUUAAGUACUUGUUCUACCUGAGUGGUAACCAUAGAAGCAUGUUUACUAAUGAGUUUAAGUUCACCUUUAACUCUAGACAUAUAAUCACCCAAGUGUUCAAUCAUAUAAGCAUUUUGUUUUAAUUGUCUACCAAAAUAAGCAUUAAAAUCUUCUUACUUAACCAUAAAGUUAUCAAACUCAUCCAAACAUUGGCUAGCAAUUUUAGUAGGAGGGAUUUCAGCUUUAUCAUAUCUAUAGAGAGAAUUUACCUUUACUACCUGUGUCGGGUUAUCAAGACCAUGAGUUUCUUCAAUAGGUGAUGAAUUAAGAUCAUAUAUUUCUUCGACAGGCGGUAAAUUAAGACCAUGUAUUUCUUCAAUAGGAGGUAAAUUCUUAACAUCUUCAGCUUUAAUACCUUUUUCUUUCAUAGAUUUCUUUGCCUCUUGCAUAUCUUCAGGACUGAGAAAUAGAACACCUCUCUUCGGAGUUGGUUUAGGAAUAGGCUCAGGAAGUGUCCAAUUAUUUUCAUUUGUCAACAUAUUAUUCAAUAGAAUUUCAGCUUCAUCCGGUGUUCUUUCCCUGAAAACAAAGCCAGCACAACUAUCCAGGUAAUCUCUGGAAGCAUCGGUUAGUCCAUUAUAAAAGAUAUCAAGCAUUUCAUUUUUCUUAAGAGGAUGAUCAGGCAAAGCAUUAAGUAAUUGGAGAAGCCUCCCCCAAGCUUGUGGGAGACUCUCUUCUUCAAUUUGCACAAAAUUAUAUAUAUAUCCCUUAAAGCAGCUUAUUUCCUAUGAGCAGGGAAAUAUUUAGCAGAGAAGUAAUACAUCAUAUCCUGGGGACUACGCACACAACCAGGAUCAAGAGAAUUAAACCAUAUCUUAGCAUCACCCUUUAAUGAGAACGGAAAUAUUGUAAGGAUAUAUAGGUAGCGAGAUUUCUCAUCAUUAGUGAACAGGGUGGCUAUAUCAUUUAAUUUAGUAAGACGUGCCACAAUAGUUUCAGAUUCAUAGCCAUGAAAAGGAUCAGAUUCAACCAAAGUAAUUAUAUCAGGAUCAACAGAGAAUUCAUAAUCCUUAUCAGUAACACAGAUAGGUGAAGUAGCAAAAGCAGGGUCAGGUUUCAUUCUAGCAUUAAGAGAUUGCUGCUUCCAUUUAGCUAAUAAUUUAUUAACAUCAUAUCUAUCUUUGCAAGCAAAAAUAGCUUUAUCAAUUUCUUCAUCCAUAACAUAGCCCUCAGGAACAACAGGCAAUUCAUAGUUAUUAGGGGGAGAGUCUUCAUCAUCACUUUAAUCGAUAUUAUCAGUUUCAAUAAUUUCAUUCUCUCUAGCCCUAGCAAGUUGUUCAUCAAGAAAUUCACCAAGUGGCACAGUAGUAUGAGCAUAGAAGUAGUUUCAUCAUAAGUAUCAUGCAUAGCAGAAGUGGCAUCAUCAAUAACAUGCGACAUAUCAGGACGAAUAGCAGAAGAAGGUUUAGGUGUCGCAAGCUUACUCAAAACAGAAGGUGAAUCAAGUGCAGAGCUAGAUGGCAGAUCCUUACCUCCCCUCAUAGUUGAGGGAUAGAUUUUUGUUUUCUCGUCUUUCAAGUUCUUCAUAGUGACCAGAAGAUAUAAAUCCCAAGUGACUCAAAGAAUAGAGCUAUGCUCCCCGGCAACGGCGCCAGAAAAUAGUCUUGAUAACCCACAAGUAUAGGGGAUCGCAACAGUUUUCGAGGGUAGAGUAUUCAACCCAAAUUUAUUGAUUCGACACAAGGGGAGCCAAAGAAUAUUCUCAAGUAUUAGCAGUUGAGUUGUCAAUUCAACCACACCUGGAUAACUUAGUAUCUGCAGCAAAGUAUUUAGUAGCAAAGUAAUAUGGAAGUAACGGUAAUGAUAGCAAAAGUAAUAUUUUUGGGUUUUGUAGUGAUUGUAACAGUAGCAAUGGAAAAGUAAAUAAGCGAGGAACAAUAUAUGAAAAGCUCGUAGGCAUUGGAUCGGUGAUGGAGAAUUAUGCCGGAUGCGGUUCAUCAUGUAACAAUCAUAACAUAGGGUGACACAGAACUAGCUCCAAUUCAUCAAUGUAAUGUAGGCAUGUAUUCCGAAUAUAGUCAUACGUGCUUAUGGAAAAGAACUUGCAUGACAUCUUUUGUCCUACCCUCCCGUGGCAGCGGGGUCCUAAUGGAAACUAAGGGAUAUUAAGGCCUCCUUUUAAUAGAGUACCGGAACAAAGCAUUAGCACAUAGUGAAUACAUGAACUCCUCAAACUACGGUCAUCACUGGGAGUGGUCCCGAUUAUUGUCACUUCGGGGUUGCCGGAUCAUAACACAUAGUAGGUGACUAUAGACUUGCAAGAUAGGAUCAAGAACUCACAUAUAUUCAUGAAAACAUAAUAGGUUCAGAUCUGAAAUCAUGGCACUCGGGCCCUAGUGACAAGCAUUAAGCAUAGCAAAGUCAUAGCAACAUCAAUCUCAGAACAUAGUGGAUACUAGGGAUAAAACCCUAACAAAACUAACUCGAUUACAUGAUAGAUCUCAUCCAACCCAUCACCGUCCAGCAAGCCUAUGAUGGAAUUACUCACGCACGGCGGUGAGCAUCAUGAAAUUGGUGAUGGAGGAUGGUUGAUGAUGACGACGGCGAUGGAUUCCCCUCUUCGGAGCCCCGAACGGACUCCAGAUCAGCCCUCCCGAGAGGUUUUAGAGCUUGGCGGCGACUCUGUAUCGUAAAACGCGAUGAAUCCUUCUCUCUGAUUUUUUUCUCCCCGAAAGUGAAUAUAUGGAGUUGGAGUUGAGGUCGGUGGAGCGUCAGGGGGCCCACGAGGCAGGGGGGCGCGCCCUGGUGGGGCACGCACGCCCCCCACCCUCGUAGACAGGGUGUGGGCCCCCUGACGUCGAUUUUUCUUUCAGUAUUUUUAAUAUUUUCCAAAAUGAUGUUCUGUGGAGUUUCAGGUCAUUCCGAGAACUUUUGUUUCUGCACAUAAAUAACACCAUGGAACGUAUCACUAUGCUUCUCCUAGAUACAUCUUGCGUGAUCGUAGGCAAAUUUUUUGAAAUACUACGUUCCCCAACAGUGGCAUCCGAGCCAGGUCUAUGCGUAGAUGUUAUAUGCACGAGUAGAACACAAAGAGUUGUGGGUGAUAAUAGUCAUAUUGCUUACCAGCAUGUCAUACUUUGAUUCGGCGGUAUUGUUGGAUGAAGCGGCCCAGACCAACAUUACAUGACCGCGUUCAUGAGACUAGUUCUACCGCCGUGCUUCGCACACAGGUGGCUAGUGGGUGUAUGUUUCUCCAUCUUUAGUUGAAUCGAGUGUGACUACACCCGGUCCUUGUUGAAGGUUAAAACAGCACACUUGACGAAAAAUCGUUGUGGUUUUGAUGCGUAGGUAAGAACGGUUCUUGCUAAGCCCGCCGCAGCCACGUAAAACUUGCAACAACAAAGUAGAGGACAUCUAACUUGUUUUUGCAGGGCUUGCUGUGAUGUGAUAUGGUCAAGACAUGAUGAUAUAUAAAUUGUUGUAUGAGAUGAUCAUGUUUUGUAAAAGUUAUCGGCAACUGGCAGGAGCCUUAAAUCACCAUGUAAUUGCUUUACUUUAUCACUAAGCGGUAGCGAUAGUCAUAGAGAUCAAGGUGUCAAGCCGGUGACGAUGGUGAUCAUGACGGUGCUCUGGAGAUGGAGAUCAAAGGCACAAGAUGAUGAUGGCCAUAUCAUAUCACUUAUAUUGAUUGCAUGUGAUUUUUAUCCUUUAUGCAUCUUAUUUUGCUUAGUACGGCGGUAGCAUUAUAAGAUGAUCUCUCACUAAAUUUCAAGGUAUAAGUGUUCUCCCUGAGUAUGCACCGUUGCGACAGUUCGUCGUGCCGAGACACCACGUGAUGAUCGGGUGUGAUAAGCUCUACGUUCACAUACAACGGGUGCAAGCCAGUUUUGCACACGCAGAAUACUCGGGUUAAACUUGACGAGCCUAGCAUAUGCAGUUAUGGCCUCGGAACACUGAGACGGAAAGGUCGAGCGUGAAUCAUAUAGUAGAUAUGAUCAACAUAGUGAUGUUCACCAUUGAAAACUACUCCAUCUCACGUGAUGAUCGGACAUGGUUUAGUUGAUUUGGAUCACAUAAUCACUUAGAUGAUUAGAGGGAUGUCUAUCUAAGUGGGAGUUCUUAAGUAAUAUGAUUAAUUGAACUUUAAUUUAUCAUGAACUUAGUACCUGAUAGUAUUUUGCAUGUCUAUGUUGUUGUAGAUCAAUGGCCCGUGCUACUGUUCCUUUGAAUUUUAAUGCGUUCCUAGAGAAAGCUAAGUUGAAAUAUGAUGGUAGCAACUACACGGACUGGGUCCGUAACUUGAGGAUUAUCCUCAUUGCUGCACAGAAGAAUUACGUCCUGGAAGCACCGCUAGGUGUAAGACCCGCUGCAGGAGCAAUGCCAGACGUUGUGAAUGCCUAGCAGAGCAAAGCUGACGACUACUCGAUAGUUCAGUGUGCCAUGCUUUACGGCUUAGAACCGGGACUUCAAUGACAUUUUGAACGUCAUGGAGCAUAUGAGAUGUUCCAGGAUUUGAAGUUAAUAUUUCAAGCAAAUGACCGGAUUGAGAGAUAUGAAGUCUCCAAUAAGUUCUACAGCUAUAAAAUGGAGGAUAAUAGUUCUGUCAGUGAACAUAUACUCAAAAUGUUUGGGUACCACAAUCACUUAACUCAGCUGGGAGUUAAUCUUCCGGUUGAUAGUGUCAUUGACAAAGUUCUUCAAUCACUGCCACCAAGCUACAAAAGCUUCGUGAUGAACUAUAAUAUGCAAGGGAUGGAUAAGACAAUUCCCGAGCUCUUCGCGAUGCUAAAGGCUGUGGAGGUAGAAAUCAAGAAGGAGCAUCAAGUGUUGAUGGUCAACAAGACCACUAGUUUCAAGAAAAAGGGCAAAGGGAAGAAGGGGAACUUCAAGAAGAACAGCAAGCAAGUUGCUGCUCAAGUGAAUAAGCCCAAGUCUGGACCUAAGCCUGAGACUGAGUGCUUCUACUACAAAGGGACUGGUCACUAGAAUCGGAACUGCCCCAAGUAUUUGGCGGAUAAGAAGGAUGGCAAAGUGAAAGGUAUAUUUGAUAUACAUGUUAUUGAUGUGUACCUUACUAAUGCUCGCAGUAGUGCCUGGGUAUUUGAUACUGGUUCUGUUGCUCAUAUUUCCAACUCGAAACAGGGGCUACGGAUUAAGCGAAGAUUGGCUAAGGAGGAGGUGACGAUGCGCAUGGGAAAUGGUUCGAAAGUCGAUGUGAUUGCCGUCGGCACGCUACCUCUACAUCUACCUUCAGGAUUAGUUUUAGACCUGAAUAAUUGUUAUUUGGUGCCAGCGUUAAGCAUGAAAAUUAUAUCUGGAUCUUGUUUCAUGCGAGACGAUUAUUCAUUUAAAUCAGAGAAUAAUGGUUGUUCUAUUUAUAUGAGUAAUAUCUUUUAUGGUCAUGCACCCUUGAUGAGUGGUCUACUUUUGUUGAAUCUCGAUAGUAGUGACACGCAUAUUCAUAGUAUUGAAGCCAAAAGAUAUAAGUUUAAUAAUGAUAGUCCAACUUAUUUGUGGCACUGCCGUUUGGGUCAUAUUGGUGUAAAGCGCAUGAAGAAACUCCAUGCUGAUGGGCUUUUGGAAUCACUUGAUUAUGAAUCACUUGAUGCUUGCAAACCAUGCCUCAUGGGCAAGAUGACUAAGACUCCGUUCUCCAGAACAAUGGAGCGAGCUACAGACUUGUUGAAAAUAAUACAUACUUAUGUAUGCGGUCCGAUGAGUGUUGAGGCUCGCGGCGGGUAUCGUUAUUUUCUUACCUUCACAGAUGAUUUGAGCAGAUAUGGGUAUAUCUACUUGAUGAAACAUAAGUCUGAAACAUUUGAAAAGUUCAAAGAAUUUCAUAGUAAAGUGGAAAAUCAUCGUAACAAGAAAAUAAAGUUUCUAUGAUCUGAUCAUGGACGAGAAUAUUUGAGUUACGAGUUUGGUCUUCACUUGAAACAAUGCAGAAUAGUUUCGCAACUCACGCCACCCGGAACACCACAAUGUAAUGGUGUGUCCGAACGUCGUAACCGCACUUUAUUAGAUAUGGUGCGAUCUAUGAUGUCUCUUACUGAUUUACCGCUAUCGUUUUGGGGUUAUGCUUUAGAGACGGCUGCAUUCACGUUAAAUAGGGCACCAUCUAAAUCCGUUGAGACGACACCAUAUGAACUGUGGUUUGGCAAGAAACCCAAGUUGUCGUUUCUUAAAGUUUGGGGCUGCGAUGCUUAUGUGAAAAAGCUUCAACCUGAUAAGCUCGAACCCAAAUUGGACAAAUGUGUCUUCAUAGGAUACCCAAAAGAGACUGUUGGGUACACCUUCUAUCACAGAUCCGAAGGCAAGAUAUUCGUUGCUAAGAAUGGAUCCUUUCUAGAGAAUGAGUUUCUCUCGAAAGAAGUGAGUGGAAGGAAAGUAGAACUUGAUGAGGUAAUUGUACCUGCUCCAUUAUUGAAAAGUAGUUCAUCACAGAAAUCAGUUCAUGUGAUUCCUACACCAAUUAGUGAGGAGGCUAAUGAUAAUGAUCAUGAAACUUCUGAUCAAGUUACUACCGAACCUCGUAGGUCAACCAGAGUAAGAUCCGCACCAGAGUGGUACGGUAAUCCUGUUCUGGAAGUCAUGUUACUUGACCAUGACAAACCUAUGAACUAUGAGGAAGCGAUGAUGAGCCCAGAUUCCACAAAAUGGCUCGAGGCCAUGAAAUCUGAGAUGGGAUCCAUGUAUGAGAACAAAGUGUGGACUUUGGUUGACUUGCCCGAUGAUCGGCAAGCCAUAGAGAAUAAAUGGAUCUUCAAGAAGAAGACUGACGCUGACGGUAAUGUUACUGUCUACAAAUCUCGACUUGUUGCGAAAGGUUUUCGACAAGUUCAAGGAGUUGACUACGAUGAGACCUUCUCACCUGUAGCGAUGCUUAAGUCCGUCUGAAUCAUGUUAGCAAUUGCCGCAUUUUAUGAUUAUGAAAUUUGGAAAAUGGAUGUCAAAACUGCGUUCCUGAAUGGAUUUCUGGAAGAAGAGUUGUAUAUGAUGCAACCCGAAGGUUUUAUCGAUCCAAAGGAUGCUAACAAAGUGUGCAAGCUCCAGCGAUCCAUAUAUGGACUGGUGCAAGCAUCUCGGAGUUGGAAUAAACGUUUUGAUAGUGUGAUCAAAGCAUAUGGUUUUAUACAGACUUUUGGAGAAGCCUGUAUUUACAAGAAAGUGAGUGGGAGCUCUGUAGCAUUUCUAAUAUUAUAUGUGGAUAACAUAUUGUUGAUUGGAAAUGAUAUAGAAUUUUUGGAUAGCAUAAAAGGAUACUUGAGUAAGAGUUUUUCAAUGAAAGACCUCGGUGAAGCUGCUUAUAUAUUGGGCAUCAAGAUCUAUAGAGAUAGAUCAAGACGCUUAAUUGGACUUUCACAAAGCACAUACCUUGAUAAAGUUUUGAAGAAGUUCGAAAUGGAUCAAACAAAGAAAGGGUUCUUGCCUGUGUUACAAGGUGUGAAAUUGAGGCAGACUCAAUGCCCGACCACUGGAGAAGAUAGAGAGAAAAUGAAAGUCAUUCCCUAUGCUUCAGCCAUAGGUUCUAUCAUGUAUGCAAUGCUGUGUACCAAACCUGAUGUGUGCCUUGCUAUUAGUUUAGCGGGGAGGUACCAAAGUAAUCCAGGAGUGGAUCACUGGACAGCGGUCAAAAACAUCCUGAAAUACCUGAAGAGGACUAAGGAUAUGUUUCUCGUUUAUGGAGGUGGCAAAGAGCUCGUCGUAAAUGGUUACGUCGAUGCAAGCUUUAACACUGGUCCGGAUGACUCUAAGUCACAAACCGGAUACUUAUUUUUAUUGAACGGUGGAGCUGUCAGUUGGUGCAGUUCCAAGCAAAGCGUCGUGGCGGGAUCUACGUGUGAAGCGGAGUACAUAGCUGCUUCGGAAGCAGCAAAUGAAGGAGUCUGGAUGAAGGAGUUCAUAUCCGAUCUAGUUGUCAUACCUAGUGCAUCGGGUCCAAUAAAAAUCUUUUGUGACAAUACUCGUGCAAUUGCCUUGGCAAAGGAAUCCAGAUUUCACAAGAGAACCAGGCACAUCAAGGGAUGCUUCAAUUCCAUCCGCGAUCAAGUCAAGGAGGGAGACAUAGAGAUUUGAAAGAUAUAUACGGAUUUGAAUGUUGCAGACCCAUUGACUAAGCCUCUCUCACGAGCAAAACAUGGUCAACACCAAGACUCCAUGGGUGUUAGAAUCAUUACUAUGUAAUCUAGAUUAUUGACUCUAGUGCAAGUGGGAGACUGAAGGAAAUAUGCCCUAGAUGCAAUAAUAAAGUUGUUAUUUAUAUUUCCUUAUAUCAUGAUAAAUGUUUAUUAUUAAUGCUUGAAUUGUAUUAACCGGAAACUUAGUACAUGUGUGAAUACAUAGACAAACAGAGUGUCAUUAGUAUGCCUCUACUUGACUAGCUCGUUAAUAAAAAAUGGUUAAGUUUCCUAGCCAUAGACAUGAGUUGUCAUUUGAUGAACGGGAUCACAUCAUUAGAGAAUGAUGUGAUUGACAAGACCCAUCCGUUAGCUUAGCACUAUGAUCGUUUAGUUUGUUGCUAUUGCUUUCUUCAUGACUUAUACAUGUUCCUAUGACUAUGAGAUUAUGCAACUCCCGAAUACCGGAGGAACACUUAGUGUGCUAUCAAACGUCACAACGUAACGGGGUGAUUAUAAAGAUGCUCUACAGGUCUCUCCGAUGGUGCUUGUUGAGUUGGCAUAGAUCGAGAUUAGGAUUUGUCACUCCGAUUUUUGGAGAGGUAUCUUUGUGCCCUCUCGGUAAUGCUUAUCACUAUAAGCCUUGCAAGCAAUGUAACUAAUGAGUUAGUCACGGGAUGAUGCAUUACGGAACGAGUAAAGAGACUUGCCGGUAACGAGAUUGAACUAGGUAUAGUGAUACCGACGAUCCAAUCUCGGGCAAGUAACAUACCGAUGACAAAGGGAACAACGUAUGUUGUUAUGCGGUUUGACCGAUAAAGAUCUUCAUAGAAUAUGUGGGAGCCAAUAUGAGCAUCCAGGUUUCGCUAUUGGUUAUUGACCGGAGAUGAGUCUCGGUCAUGUCUACAUAGUUCUCGAACCCGUAGGGUCCGCACGCUUAACGUUCGAUGACGAUCGGUAUUAUGAGUUUAUGUGUUUUGAUGUACCGAAGGUAGUUCGGAGUCCCGGAUGAGAUCACGGACAUGACGAGGAGUCUCGAAAUGGUCGAGAUGUAAAGAUCGAUAUAUUGGAAGGCUAUAUUCGGACAUCGGAAAGAUUCUGAGUGGUUCGGGUAUUUUUCGAAGUACCGGAGAGUUACGGGAAUUCGUCGGGGGAAGUAUUGGGCCUUCAUGGGCCUUAGUGGAAAGGAGAGAAGGGCCACAAGGGGAGGCCGCCCCCCCAUGGGCUGGUCCGAAUUGGACCAGGGAGGAGGCGGUGCCCCCUCUUUCCUUCUCCCUCUCCUACUCCUUCCCUCUCUCCCCUCUUGGAAAAGGAAGGGGACUCCAACUAGGAUUGGGAAUCCUAGUUGGACCCCCCUAUAGGCGCUCCCCUCCUAGGCCGGCCUCCUCUUCCCCCCUCCUUUAUAUACGUGGCCAGGGGGCACCCCAUAGACACACAAGUUCAUCUUUAGCCGUGUGCGGUGCCCCCCUCCACAGUUUUACACCUCGGUCAUAUCGUCGUAGUGCUUAAGCGAAGCCCUGCGCUGGUAACUUCAUCACAACCGUCACCACGCCGUCGUGCUGACGAAACUCUCCCUCGGCCUCAGCUGGAUCAAGAGUUCGAGGGACGUCACCGAUCUGAACGUGUGCAGAUCGCGGAGGUGCCGUGCGUUCGGUACUUGAUCGGUUGGAUCGCGAAGACGUUCGACUACAUCAACCGCGUUACUAAACGCUUCCGCUUUCGGUCUAUGAGGGUACGUGGACACACUCUCCCCGCUCAUUGCUAUGCUUCUCGUAGAUAGAUCUUGCGUGAUCGUAUGCAAAAAAUUUGAAAUACUACGUUCCUCAACAACAAAAGCUUAACAUCUAAAGCUGGAGGCCCCAAGCAAGCCACAUACUGGGUUUGGAGCACAAACCGGUCCUACGCACUCUCAUGUGUCGCCGCCACCAUCUUCCACCAAUCCAUCUUCAGAGCGGAAACUAAUGCACCGACCUUGCCAGACCUCUCUGCCAUCGACGCCACCCUCAGUGGCGGAGCUUCAUGGGGGCCAACCUGGCCGGUGGCCGCCCCAGCUCACAGGAAAAUAUAUGUAUAUAUCUUAGUUUUAGGCCUAUUUUUUCACCAAAAAUCAGCCUGUAGUGAUUUUGCUUCCCCCCCACAGCCAUUAGCCCCUCCAUGAUUCUUGCCCAAGCUCCGCCAGCGUGAGUCCAUCUUCGCGCAUCAGACUCCGAAUUUCCACUGCACAACGCCGCCGAGAUCCGUCGUCUUUGAUGCGGUAAAUGAAAAACCACUCCACCACUUGUCUCCUCCAUCCAGCCGCUGCUCCAAAGACAAUGCCCCCAUGAGGGAGAACGACGCCUAAUCGUUCGAUCCGGGAACCCCGGGUCUAGGUUUUCGCCUGGAGCAGCGCAAGCGAGUCGACGGUAGAUACAGUGGUGAUGUCUUCACCAAGAUAACGACGUGAAAACGCCGCCAUCGCUCGCCAUGACCGGAGUGAUAGCAUGGUUUUCACCGGCAGCAUCGUCUUCCCACUCGGCCCCCGUAUUGGACGUGUGAUGCCACAACCAGCUGGCUGACCACCUCCGGCGAAGGAGGUGGCCACCACCGCCACGCCCAAGGUCAGAGCCCCCAUGUCCUCGUGUUGCGGAUCGAGCCCGGGAGCAGUCCAUUGACGGAGUAUGGAAGAUACAUGUCAGCAGCAUGCAUGGCACAUCGAAGCCCAUCUGGGCCCAGAUCGGACGCCCUAGCCGUCGCCGUUGGACAUCUCGCCAUACGCCGCCGCCUCCUACUGGACCUGGCCGCCGCCGCCCCGCACCACUGGUGCCGCCACGCAGCCACCGCCCAAUCCCGCCAUCGGCGUGACUGUACGCAGCCCCGCCACCAUGCACUGCGCUAGAACAAGGCGUCCCCGCCGAGGUGCCGUGCCUGCGCCGCAGCAGAUCGCGCGAGGAGGAAGGAGAUCCCCGCCUCCGCCAACGCCGGCCGGGCUUAGCCCGGCGGCGACGAGGGAAAGUUAGAGAAGCGAGGGGGCGGGGUGGCGGCCCGAUAGGUUUCGCCCUGUCUCUCUUAGGAGAGACGGGAUGAAACGUUUCCUAGGCGAGAGCGAUAGCGGUCAAAUCAUGCUAAUCUUGUCAUUAAGGGUCAAAACAGCGAUUUUGGCCAAGUGCCCAUGUUGCCACCCUGAGGAGGGGCAGUUGUGGGCCUAUAUUCAAUGAAGAUAUUUUAUUUGGCUGUUUUCAUUGCGAUAUUCUUUUUCUUUCAAUCUUCUUCGGUGGAAUGUGAUACUUACAAUCAUGAUCUACUCGAGUUUCCUGUAGUGAAAUCAAGUUAUUUUUCGACUGAUUAAUAAUUAUUACCUGUACUAGUAAUAUUACACACACCACGUACCAAGUUACGGUAAUUUUCUCUUGUUUCUUGCAGUUCACAAGUUCGCUUAGGUUUGCUUUUGCCUUCAAAAUAAGAGACCAUGCAUAGCUUUCCUCGUCCACGAGCAUAUUGGCCGAAAUGGAUUAGCAGGAUGUGGGUUUAUGGUGGGGUUCAAGGUUGAGUUGGCUGCACCUUUUCCUGUUCGGGCUCCCUCAAAGUUUCCCUCGAUUUAUGGGUCCAGAUAUCCUUUAAUCCACUAAGCUCCCUAGGAUUGAAGCUCUCCCAGUCAAUUGUGGGCGUCGAUUUGGUGGUUGGCCCCAUUUUGAUUGGGUCAUGACACUGGAGUUACUCAAGGGUGGGUGGUCGGACGGGGCCCGCUGUUGAGUGUGAGGGGCGCUUUGUGGUCCACCAUGGCCAAGGCUGUCGCGUGGCGCUGCGGGUGGUACCUGGGAGCAUGCAUGUCGGCGCGGCGUCCCCUAAGGCUCUGGAUUGGAGGUGUGGUGAUUUGGAAAGCGGUAGGAGCUGUCGGCGGGGUGAUUUGGGUGGUGUUUUGCCGCCGGUGCAUUUUCGUGCGGGCCGUACUUCCGUGGUGGCGCCGCCAUUAUAGGGUUUCCCUUUCCGGCGGAGUGGCAUGCAGGCAUUGUUUCUAGAGAGCUUCGCUGCCGGUUCGUCUUUGGGCGGGCGUGCAACAUACGCUCCUUCAUCCUCAGCUGUUCCAUCGUCCAGACGGCCUAAAAGUUUCUUUCCCAUCACUUAAUCUUGUGUUUUGAUGCAGAGGCUGGCGGUUUCAACCUCCUUUUCUAGAAAAAAAAAACUUAAUCUUCCGUUGUUUCUGUUUGAUGCAGAGGUCGCUUGAGAAGAGGCAAUUUGGGGUGCUUUGACGCCGCUUCAUCUAGGUUGUGCUGCUGUUUCAUCUAGGUUCUGCCGCCACUCUGUCUGGCUCUUCAGUGCGGCCCUUCUUGCUUCGUCCCAAUGGUGGGUCGGGCUGCUGAGCAUUCCUGCUGCUCUCCCCUCUCCGUGCAAGUGCUUAUGGGGCCUUUCCUUGUUGAUUGCUAUCAUGUGCCAGAGGUGUGUUUAGGGAUUUUAUGUGUGGGGGCAUUGAAGGCGUUUGUCUGCUCGCUAACUGUAGGAGGCAGGCGAAACUACAACAGAUUGGCAGAUUAGCGACUUGGCCCUCCGAGCAACAAAGUCAGCUCAGUUGGUUCAUCUUUCUCGCUUAUUGGUCAGAUUCUGAAUCCAGAUUCAGCUAUUUUGGUUCAUAUUCUAUUGAUUUGGUACGCACAUCUACGUUGAUGUAUCAACUCUACUCCAUAAAUACGGAUACAAAGUGUUUGAUGGUAGUUUUCUUUGAUAGUUUUGUGUUGUCAUUGCUUCCAGUCACCAGUUUUUGAAUUUAAUGGUGAAUACUUAUCCAUUAAAUUACAAAUUCCUUCAAGUGUUGCAUUCUCUAUGCAAAGAUAAAUGAUGUCUGCCUGAGAUUUGGAUCUCUCUGAUCUUAAAUUAUUUGGAAUCGAGUAGUAAGUUAUUUAUCUACCAACUCUCCUACUGGAGUUAGCAUAUAUUAUUGUAUAAAUUUAACUAUUUAAGAGCACAUGAAUUGUGCUGAUGAAGAACUUAGGAUAGAGGGAAUGCAGAAUUUACUAAAGUUUGAAGAAACUGCAUGUUGGUUUCUUCUUUUUGUUGUUCUGAAAUUGCUGCUCUUGUUGGAUUGUUCUGUGUUGUACCUAAAUCAAACUAAACAAUUAUUAUAUAAUUCUAUAGACCAUAUUCUUAAUUUUGGGUCAUGUCUAGGGCACUAGGAAUCAUUCCCAUAUAUUUAUAGUUUGGUACUCUUGAGCUGGUCCAUGACAGUGCUUCUGUCAUAUAUUACUCUUGUGGGUUACUAUAUUGGAAGGGGGGUUAUUGUGAGGCAGAAUCGAGGGGACUGGGAAUUUCUACCAGUAUUAAACUAAAAGAUACUUCCUUUAUUUUUCUUCUCAUUGAUCAGCUCUAGAGAUGUAUCGAUGCACAUACCCAAGGUAGUUUUCUAAAAAUUACAGCAUGGUUCGCUUUCAUUGCUCUAUGGGUAUAACUUUUAUAGAUAUGAUCCCUGUUUUUUUUUUUUCAAAAUUGCCGUGCUUUUGUAUUCAGGUUGGAAACAGUAGAGCAGCAAGCCUGAGGUGUCUUCUUUUGUGAUGCACAUGUUCUCUGAUUAAGCAAAUGUCAAGUGGCCCUCUUGAUGAUGAUGAUGACUCCAGAAGGCUAGAAGGCUAUGCACUGUUAUUUUUUUUUCAUACAAACUAGAGAUUAUUAGCAUCAUUGUAUUCCAAUUUCAUGCUCGGUAAUUUACACUAGCAUUUGUAACGAAUAGACAACCAUUGUUUUCCCAUUUUGAUCUCGAUGCACAUGCCAUUGUCUGAUACUAAAACGCCAGGGAGAAACCGGCGCAGCAAAGCGCGCAAUCUCUUCUAGUUCAGAUUACUCCUAACGAAAUUGAUGAGCCACGGAUGGCUAAAAGUGUCAGAACCUUCGUGUGUAAACAUAUACGGACGGUUUGGUAAUCCGCGUUGCUCUUACUACUAUUAGAACCAAAAAUAAAUAAAACUAUAGUACAUUUUGGUAUAGCCACAAUGGAGAGUAACAUACACUAGUAACAUACAUAUAUCGCUAGACUAUGUUACUACCUUCAUAGUGUGGUAUCAUGCAAAGUUUCAUUUAUUAGGUUAUAGACUCAUACUAUUGCAUUGGGACAUGUGAUGUUACAGUAACUAGCUAAGGCUGGUCAUAGUGGGAGUAACAUAGGUAGUAAAGCAAAAAGGAUGAUGUGUCAAGUAAUUAAUGAGGAGAGAGGCAAAUAGAGUAACAUAAUAUGUUACCAUCACAUAGCGCUUUCCAAUGCAAAAUGAGUCUACAAAGCAAUAAAUGAAGAUUUAUAUGUUAUCACACUUAUGUUAGUACCCACUAUGAAGGUAGUAACAUAGACUAGUAACAUGUGCAUGUCAUUAGUCUAAGUUACUCCCCACUAUGACUAGCCUAAGUCACUGAAACCAUCCCUCUCCUCAUUACAAUUCAUUGCCACAUAAGCAAGUUUACUGAGUUGGACUCGAUGUUACUGUUGAAAUUAUUCUCGCUGUGGCUAAGAGAUAUUUUAUCAUAGUUUAUCACGAGAGCGUAGGAGUGGAAUAGACUAGUCGUAUGCUUAGUCGGCGAAUGGCUGUAUAUAUGCUCGAUUAACGCAAUGGAGCCAUUAUUACAGUGUGCAUGGGAUCUAAUGACACUACAGGUCGAGGUCAACCCAAAGACUUAAGACACACUCUGGGGUAUGAGAAAGCUCGGAUUAAACUAAGCUCGCGCAUUAAAGCGCGUUCAGAAACGAGAUCACAUCACGCUUCACUUGUACUAAAUCUUCGGGUUGACCUCGAGUGCCAUUAAGUCCCACGCACACAUACUAUACUAGUAGCUCCGAGGUCAGUGAGGGAGGAUCAGUGACCACCAUUAUUCAGUAGAGCUGAGUGCUCAAGCCAGUACAAGAGCAGCCCGGCUGCGAGAUGAAAAAGGCGAGGAGGAACGAGAGCGGCAAGAAGCUUGCGAGCAGAGCAGGAGCAAGGGCCAUCGUGUGGCUUCUGCUUCCUAUCCUCGUCUUCGUCCUGCUCAAUGCCGAUUACAUGCCCCAGGUUCCCCGACGUAAGUCCUCUCGAUUAUAAUCAAAACUCUUUUUCGAGUGUUCAUCUGAUCUAUGUACGCGUGUGCGCUCUUCUUCGAUUCAUCUUCCCAAGAAGAAGAGUAGUACUGUUGGUCCAUAGUAAGCUGUAACAACGAUUCGACAUAUUUGUUGCAGCAUGAGUAUGUAUGUAUUGCCCAUGAGCUUGAUCAUCUUCGAUAAAAUGCUUGAGUUUUUGGAUUCACCAAGAAUUAAACAACUGUUCAAAGUUGGGUCUACUGAUUUUUUCCACAUGCAUGCACGCCAGCCAAUGAAUCAAAUCAAUCCCUUGCUUUGAAGUUGACAAGAUCUCGAUCCGGAUCAACAUUUUAGUGAUACUUUUAAGGGCGCGUACGUCUCGAGACAUCGGUUUUGAUGUUCUCCGCAGCGCGUAGUUCGAUGUCGGCAGCUUUACAUGUAAAAUCUACAGCUGAACAUGAAUUUCCUCCAUGCAUGGUUUGCAGUUACAGGGACCAGCGUUACCGAAGCUGCGGAGUAUUUUCGACAAUCGACUCAUAAGGUUCCGUCUUCAGGUGAGCGGAGGGAAAGCGUAUGCACUCUGGAUUGUUAACGUGAAAUCCAUGCGAUUAACUUCCCGCUACGUCCUCUUUCGCCAUCACAGGUAUAGAGGAUACAAUAUGGCAGCAGCAGGAGCGACUACUACAUGAUGUAGCCAAGUUCAGAGCUGAGCAUGGUACUCAAUCUUUGACCGAGCUACAGUAGAGAAUCUUGAGCUCUCUAAGUAAAUCAUCAAUUGGCGCUAACAACAAUGGUAUAUGGAUCCUUCAUUUAAUUCAGAUUCGGUCGUCGAAGCACCACCUUCUCGCGAAUCCAGCCACGAGAUGGCCGGCAAGCUUGUCGGUGCGGACAGAGGUAAUUUUAUUCUUUUGCCGACAUAGGCAAUUAAUUGCCUUUUUCUCUGCAGAACGGAAGUUAAGUUAAUUAGCUUGUCCAAAAGUCAAGUUUGGCUAAACGCGCAGUGCACCACACGUUCUAUAAUACUCGCUCCGUACCAAAUUAAUUGAAGUUCGUGUUUGAUCAUAAGCCAAUUUUUUCUAGGUUUGACCAAUUUUUGUAGUAAAAAAAAUUAACAUCUACAAUGUCAAAUUAGUUUUAUUCUAAAAUGCAUUUUCAUACUAUAUGUAUAUUUGAUGUUACAUAUUAGUACAUUUUCAUACUAUGGACUCUAAGAAAUUUGACUUAGAAUACAGCUUAAUUGAACUUCAUUAAUUUGGAAUGAAGUACUAGCAUUGGCUACAGAAUGCUUUACGUUUUGAGGUAUGGAGUAUGGGUUACAAUGAAAUAGAGCCUAGCUUUACGAAAGCUGAUCUCAACCAUUGUAUAAUCCAGGCAAUUUAACUCCGCCACUACGUCCUCUUUCGCCGUCCCAGGUACAGAGAGUGCAAUAUGGCAGCAGCAGAGGCAGCUACUGCGUGAGGUGGCCGAGCUAAGAGCUGCGCACAAAGAACUACUACUUGAGGUAGCCAAGUUAAGAGCUGCGCAUGGUACGCAACAAAACUCAUUCUUUAACCGAGCUUGAGAAGCUUCAGUUCUCUAAUGAAAUCCUCGAUUGAUGCUAAUAAUAAUAGUAUAUGCCCUGUGGUUGACCCUUCAUUUAAUUCAGAUUUGGCCGUACGAGCACCACCUUCUCCCGCAUCAACCGACGAGACGCCCGGCGAGGCCGUCGACGCACAACCUUCUCCCCCAUCAAGCGAUGAGACGCCCGGCGAGGCCGUCCAUGCACAACCUUCUCCCGCAUCAAGCAACCAGACACCCGGCGAGGCCGUCGAAGCACCACCUUCUCCCCCAUCAAGCGACGAGACGCCGGUCGAGGCCGUAGAAGCACCACCUUUUCCCACAUCAAAUGAAGAGACGCUAGGCAAGGCCAAUGAUGCACCACCUUCUCCCGCAUCAAAUGACGAGACGCACAGCGGCGCCGUGGAUGCACAACCUUCUCCCCCAUCAAGUGACGAGACGCCCGGCCAAGCCGUUGAAGCACCACCUUCUCCCACAUCAAGCGACGAGACCCCCGGCGGCGUCGUGGAUUCCAAGAGAGGUAAUUACUCCUUUUCUCUGGAGAACAGUUGUUAAGUUAGCUUUUUUUCAAAACUCAAGACUGACUAAAUUAAAUACUUCCUCCUUUCCAUAAUGUAAGACGUUUUUUGACACUACAGUAAUGUCAAAAACCGUCCUUUAUUAUGGGACAGAGGGAGUAGCAAACAAACUAAUGCUACUCCCUCCUUCCAAAUACACAAGGCUUAAUACAUUUUUACGGUAUCCUUCGAGGCUUUGACCAUUGGUUAGAAUAAUAGUAUAUGACGAUGUGUAUGUUCAAAAAAUAUAUCAUUGAACAAUAGUAUAUGAUGUGUAUGUUUAAAAAGGUAUAUCAACAAAUUCAUAUGUGGAAGAAGUUUUUUUUACUAAUGAUAUUUAAUUUCAUACAUCUUAUAUAUUAUUAAUUUUAUCAAUAAUAAAAGAAAAUCUAGAAAAAUGUGUUAGCCUUUUUAUGUUUGGACAGGCGGAGUAACACACACGGUAUUAGUUGUACAGUACCAAUAUGAAGUAUAUACUCUCUCUGGAAUAAAAUAAAAGUCAGCCACCUGGAUUUCAGGACUUCAAUUUGAUUAGUGAAAAAUGUGUUGUAUAUGAAAAAAAAUAUUUUCAACAUUCAAUCAUCCAAUGAACUUUGUAAACAUAUGUUGUUUUGGCAUAUUUUACAUGUUUUCGUAGUUAAAUUAACGACCUAAAUUCCCAUGCGAAACUUAUAUUCCACCCGUAAAGAGCACUGUAUAGUUAGGUGCUGCUCGUAAAUGAAAUAGUCUAACGGCAAUAGAAAAUUACCCAAUAGUGACCAAAGAAAACUUAAUAGAAGUUUCAAGCUAGUGUACUAAUCACUAACUCUUGUCUGCAAGAUACAGAUGUGGCAGCACCAAGAAGCAAGUCAACUUGCGAUUUCAGCGGUAAACGAAUGGACAUCUGCGCCAUGGAAGGUGAUCUCCGUAUGCAUGGCAAAGCCGCCACAGUGUAUGUGGUCUCAGCGUCUGGCGACAGCUACCGGCCAGAGAACGGGAUGGUGACGAUCCACCCCUACCCGCGCAAGAUGGAGACAGAGACGAUGCAGACUAUCAGGGAGGUGACCAUCCGCUGGAAUGACCCUCCAGGACCGGAUGCGCCACGGUGCACGGUGACGCACGAUGUCCCUGCGUUGGUCUUCUCCACCGGCGGCUACCUCAGCAACUUGUUCCACGCCAUGACCGACGGCAUCAUCCCUCUCUUCAACACCGUGCGGGAGUACAACGGCCGCGUCCAGCUCGUGGUCACCGACUACAACCACGAGUGGGUUGACAAGUUCCGAGACAUCCUCGCCGCGCUCUCCAACUACCCGGUCAUCGACUUCGAUGCCGACAACGAGGUACGUUGCUUCCCGUCGGUGCACGUCGGCACCGAGAGCCAUAAGGAGCUAGGGAUCAUCCCUGCCCUCUCCCGCAAGGGCUACACUAUGACGGACUUCCGGGACUUUCUCCGGUCGGUCUACUCGCUGAAGCGUGAGUGGUCGACCCCCGUAAACCGGGCCUCCGGCGACAGGCCUCGUCUCGCCAUGAUACUGCGGCGCAACUCGAGGACGUUCGCAAACGAGGCGGAGACCAUCGCAGCAGCCACGGAGGUCGGAUUCGAGGUGGUGCCGGCAGGGCCGGAGGCCAUGAGCGACAUGGCCCGGUUCGCGGAGGUGAUGAACUCGUGCGACGUGAUGGUGGGCGUGCAUGGUGCUGGGCUCGCCAACAUGGUGUUCCUCCCUCGCAACGCCACGGUGCUGCAGGUCGUCCCGUGGGGCGACCUGAGCUGGGCGUCCUUCAGUGCCUUCGGCGCGCCGACGGCUGACAUGGGGCUCCGGUACGUCAAGUACGAGGCCACCGCCGAGGAGACGACGCUCAAGUAUGUAUACCCGAGGGACCACGCCGUCUUCACCGACGUCCCCUCCAUAAACAAGCAAGGGUACAGUAUGACGUGGCGGAUCUUCCUCAACGGUCAGAACAUCACCCUCGACAUCGACCGCUUCAGAGGGGUGCUGCAGCAAAUCUACCAGAGUACUAUAAUGGCCGAUCCAGUCGUGGAAGCACUACCUCCUCCCAACGAGAUGCCCAGCGAGGCCGUCGAUGCGAACAAAGGUAACUAAUAACCUUUUCUGUGCAGAACUUGUGAGGCUCAGUUAGCUUGUUCGAAAGUCAAAAUCUGAAUAAAUUGAAUAUUGCAAUCUGUUGCAGAUCUCAAAAACGAGGAGAACGGGGGAGCAGAUGGUUCUUUGAUAAAACCAGGUACGUACAAAGUAUGUUGCAUAUUCAAGCGCUGGGUAUUUGCAUUCGUAUUUGGUUGGGCCACUCUGGCUAGCAAGGAGAAAACAUAUAAUUGUUGGCGAUAAUAGAGUUUGGUAGCAAACUAACUUACAAUACUAACAGACUUACUCGAAAAUAUAACUAAUAAAUAUUGUGUGCAUGAUGCAGAUGUGCCGGCACCAAGAAGCAAGUCAAGUUGCGACUUCCGCAAUGAACGCAUGGACGUCUGCGCCAUGGAAGGCGAUGUCCGUAUGCACGGCAAAGACGCCACCGUGUACGUGGUCUCAGCGUCCGACGACAGCUAUCGGCCAGAGAACGGGGUGUUGAUGAUCCACCCUUACACACGCAAGUGGGAGCCACAAACCAUGCAGACUGUCCGGGAGGUGAUCAUCCGCUGGAGCGACCCACCGGGACCAGAAGAGCCACGGUGCACGGUGACACAUGACGUCCCCGCGGUGGUCUUCUCCUCCGGCGGCUACCUCGCCAACUUCUUCCAUGCCAUGACUGAUGGCAUCAUCCCUUUGUUCAACACUGCGCGGGAGUACAAUGGCCGCGUCCAGCUCGUGGCCACCGACUACGACCCCAAGUGGAUUGGUAAGUUCCGGAAUAUCCUCGGCGCGCUCUCCAACUACCCGGUCAUCGACUUCGACGCCGACGAUGAGGUGCGUUGCUUCCCGUCGGUGCGCGUCGGCACCGAGAGCCAUAAGGAGCUAGGGAUCAUCCCUGCUCUAUCCCGCAAGGGCUACACGAUGACGGACUUCCGAGAGUUUCUCCGGUCGGCCUACUCGCUAAAGCGUGAGUGGUCGACCCCCGUAAACCGGGCCGCAGGCGACAGGCCUCGUCUCGUCAUGCUGCUGCGACGCAGGUCGAGGGAGUUCGCAAAUGAGGCGGAGGCCAUCGCAACUGCUACGGAGGUUGGCUUCGAGGUGGUCCCUGCGGGGCCGGAGGUCGUGAGCGACAUGGCCCAGUUCGCGGAGGUGGUGAACUCGUGCGACGUGAUCAUGGGCGUGCAUGGCGCAGGGCUCACCAACCUGGUGUUCCUCCCGCGCAAUGGCACGGUGCUGCAGGUCGUCCCGUGGGGCGACAUGAGGUGGGCGUCCUUCAGUGCCUUCGGCGCUCCGACCGCCGACAUGGGGCUCCGGUACGUCGAGUACGAGGCGACCGCCGAGGAGACGACGCUCAAGUACGUAUACCCGAGGGACCACGCCGUCUUCACCGACCCCCGCUCCAUACAGAAGCAGGGGUUCGGUGUGGCUUGGGGGACCUUCUUCAACGGCCAGAAUGUCACCCUCGACAUCAACCGCUUCAGAGGGGUCUUGCAGCAAAUCUACCAUGAUAGUGUGUUGCCCGAUCCUUCGCUUGAUUCAGCUCCGGUCGUGGAAGCACCACCCUCUCCCGGAUCAAGCGACGCCGUCGAUGCGAACAGAGGUAAUCAACUACCGUUUCUCUGCAGAACGGAGGUUCAGUUAGCUUGUUCAAAAGUCAAGUCUGACUAAAUUGAAUUUCUGUUGCAGAUCUCGGGAAUGAAAAAGGGCUCCAAGCCAUGAACGGGGGAGUAGAUGGUUCUUCGAUAAAAUCAGGUACGUGCAAAGUAUAGUGCAUAUUCAAGCGCUAUGUAUUCACAUUCGUAAUUUUGUUGAGGCAACGAGUUUCGCGAUAUAUACUAGAAUUUGGUAGCAAACGAACUAAUACUAACAGACAUUGCGUUGGUUGUACAUACAGUAGCAACAUAUAGAGUAUAUAAAAAGCAUCAGGGAGCUUGGAAUUUUUGCUAGCGAAAAUACAUUUUCUACAUCAUAAAAAAUUUGGAAAAAAAUACACAUAUAGUAUGAAAUUUAUGAACAUAUAUGUUCAUAUGUGAUGUACACACAAAAAACAAAUAUAUAGAUCACCCGCAAAAAAAGACAAAUAUAUUAGAUAAAAUUGGUUAAAUCUUUGUUACAUUUUGUGCCAUAAUUUUGUCUUCUUUUUGUAGCCU
rnacentral:lncRNA from 1 species